AACCAUUGACUUUUGUUAUAAGAGAGUGCCAAGUCAUUACCUUAUCAAGAUUGAGUCAGGCAGCUGUGACUGAGUGGUUUCACUAAGAUCACGACUAGUAUAAAAGCAGCAAGUCACUCUUGUGUUUUAUGCACCAAACUCAUAAGUCACUAACAUGGCUUCCUCAAACUUUUUAGUGCUGCUUCUUUUUGCUCUCUUUGCUAUCCCUCGGGGUCUUGCCAAUUAUGACAAGCCUCCGGUUUACCAACCACCGGUCUACAAGCCCCCUGUUGAGAAGCCACCUGUGUAUAAGCCACCGGUAGAAAAACCUCCAGUUUACAAACCACCGGUAGAGAAACCACCAGUGUACAAGCCACCAGUUGAGAAGCCCCCCGUCUACAAACCUCCUGUAGAGAAGCCUCCUGUUUACAAGCCACCAGUAGAGAAACCACCAGUGUACAAGCCACCAGUUGAAAAGCCUCCGGUCUACAAACCACCUGUAGAGAAGCCACCUGUUUACAAGCCACCUGUAGAGAAACCACCAGUGUACAAGCCACCAGUUGAGAAGCCUCCGGUCUACAAACCACCUGUAGAGAAGCCACCUGUUUAUAAGCCACCUGUAGAGAAACCACCAGUGUACAAGCCACCAGUUGAGAAGCCCCCGGUCUACAAACCCCCUGUAGAGAAGCCUCCUGUCUACAAGCCACCAGUAGAGAAACCGCCAGUGUACAAGCCACCAGUUGAGAAACCCCCGGUCUACAAACCCCCUGUUGAGAAGCCUCCUAUCUACAAGCCACCAGUAGAGAAACCACCAGUGUACAAGCCACCUGUUGAGAAGCCUCCAGUUUAUAAGCCACCAGUUGAGAAGCCACCUGUGUACAAGCCCCCAGUCGAGAAACCCCCGGUCUACAAACCUCCUGUAGAGAAGCCUCCAGUUUACAAGCCACCGGUGUACAAACCUCCAGUUUACAAGCCACCAGUAGAGAAGCCACCUGUGUACAAGCCUCCGGUCUACAAACCCCCAGUUGAGAAACCUCCAGUUUACAAGCCACCGGUUUACAAGCCUCCAGUCGAGAAGCCACCAGUUUACGGACCACCUCACCACCCAUAGUACCCUCCCGUAGUUGGCACUACUCGUUUUUAAAGCAUGCUUUUAAGUAAAUAAGAGAUAUAUAAACUUUCCAAAGCAAGGAUCAUAUAUUCUUGGAAAUCUUCAAUUCAAUCUUAUGUUUACAAAUGCUAUUGCCAAGACAAGAGUGUGAAAGAAAAUGGUGCCAUUUGUACUUCAAAUUAUGAAUAAGAACGUUAUGAUUUAGUACUUCUUAUUUUGUGUUUGUUGACUAAAUUUGACAGAGUAUACUUUACUUGUUCCCUAUCAUACCAGUAAGGUGCAUGAAAGUUCAGUCUUGAACGGUGGAAAUAAAUAAUAAUUAAUUAAUGUUUGAAUCUCGAAUUUACUAAAUUAACGAACUUGUAAUUUCAUUGGAAUAUACUUGACUCAGUGGUAGCUUUAGUUUCAACUUGGAAAAUGUCCGUGAUAUGACAAUUUUUCCAAAACAAGUUUAGGUUAAGAUUUUUAUUUUUUAUUUUUGACAUAAUAUACGUUAAGAUUCUUGUGUACUAAUAGAAACUGAAAAAUCAUUUUGGUGCUUAAAGUUUAAUGAGUUGGACAAAUUAUUCACUCAAAUAUGGAAAUGAUAAUGUAGUCUCUUCAAUUAUAGAAUGCCAUUUAAUUUAGUUACCUUUUCAAAAUUAGCAUCACAAUUCGCAAGGUUUUAUAUUUGUGUUGAUGCAUCAGUUAAGAUAAGGAUCACGAAAAUUAGGUUUUUGACUUGGUUUUGAUUAGGGGUGUUUGCGGUGCGUUUUGGUUCGGUUUUGAGCAUAAAAGUCAUCUAAACCUCAAGAUAAAAAAGCAUGCGGUUUGGUUUGAUUCAGUUGAUUUUUAUAUAGUCAUCCAAACAAAACCAAACCAAACCAAUGCGGUUUGGAUUGGUUCGGUUUGUACGGUUUAUCGCGAGAUGAAAAAAUAUUACAUUAACUCUAAUAUUGCCAACUUGUUACAAAAUAAACAUAGGACAUUUUAUUUUGUUGUUUAUAUGAUAAAAUAUUAGGUAAAACUUAUAUCAAAAUAGGUAAAAUUAAGAAGAAACAUAAGCAUGAAACAAAUUAUUGAGAAGUAAAAGAAACAAAUUCAUCACUGAAAAUGAAUUGAAAGAGAUGGAAAGGAAUUAGAAUCGAACCAGAUGGUGCAACAAUGGAAAAAUCUAAUCAAAUGAGAUUAUUCUUGAGCUAUGUAAUUGGGCUAGUACAUGUUUAAGUAAUAUUCAUUAUUCUUGCGGUUUGGUUUGGUACUUGAGAUGCAAACCGCAAACCAAACCGAACCGCGCGGUUCAGUGUAAAAGUCAUCCGAGUUCAUUCGAACCAAGUGCAGUUUUUUGCGGUUUCGGUUUGGAUUGGUUUGGUUUGCGGUUUUUCUAUUGGGUUCGUUCGGUUUUGAACACCCCUAGUUUUGAUCGAUGUUUCCUGAAGAUAUGUUUUGGUAAUUGAACUAAAUAAACUGUCUUACAUUCUUCAAUUAAUGAGAUUAAAUUUCCUUUUUACAAAUAUCAAUGAUUAAUGUCAAGGACUAAAAUGAUGAUUAGUGUCGCGCCAUUUUUCGGAGGUCAAGGCCAUUUGAUUAGCUUUUGACUCACUUUUUAUCUCACGACUGAACAAAAAAUUUUUUAAAGGGGAAAAAGUUUCAAACCACCCAUUUUGAAAAGAUUUAGGGUUCAUGGGUUGGUUAUAUUUAGGGAAGGUAUUAGCACCCUAAAUAUUCGUAGUACUCUAUGAGUACCUCUUGAUUUUAUUUAACUUUUUGUGCUUAAACUUGCUUGCUUUUGAAGAGAUGAAAAUAGAAUUGAAAGAUGAGUUGAAACGAAAAAGAAAAUUGAUUUUAAUUGAAAAGAAAAAAGAAAAUUGUUUUUUAGUUGAUUUGGAAGGACAAGGUCCUCUGCCUACGUACCCGUGAGGGAUCAAAACCUCGUAGUUCGGGGUAGAAAUUGACGUUUGAUUGGUUUUAUAUUUUUUAUUAGUUUUUGAAAAAAGGUUUGAAAUAAAAAGCCAAGUGGCAAAUGAGAAUUGAUUUGUGUUUUUUGGAUUGAAGGAAAUAGACUUGAAGUAGAAUUAAAAUUGAUUUGAGAUUUGAUUAAGAAAGAAAAUAGAAAUAGCGAUCACUUCAUUGAAAGUCAAGGUUUGUUAUAAAAAUAUUUUUUUGUGAUUUUUUGAUAUUUGGAUGUUUUUGCCGUUUUUGAAUAAUGAAUGAAAAUUAAACUAACAGAGCAAUGAAAAUAAAAGUGCGUGGGCGUGAAGAAAAGAUUUUGGUUUAUGUUAGUUCGACAAUAUAAAUAGUAUUUAAUAUAUGUUGUGUUCACUUUGGAUAUUAUCGGACAAAAUUUUGACAAUAAUAAAAAUAAUAAUAGUAAAAUAGAAUAAAAAAUAGAAAGACUAAAGUGAAUCAAAAUGAGAUAAAAAGAUAAAUAUUUAAAACGGAUUUAAAGUUAAUAAAAGAUGGAAACUAAAAUUAAAUGAAAUUUGAAAAUUGAGAGAAGAGGGUCCGACUUGGAACCAAAUAUGAGGUAUUUUAAAAUACCUUCCUAUCGAAAUUUUGUUCGAAAGGCUGAGACCGGUCGGAGUUAAAUGACACGUGUCAGUGCUGCCUUAGGUCAAAAAUUGGGGUAUGACAAUUAGCUCAAUAAUUAAUUAUUGUGAUUUCUUCAUUUUAUAUUUAUAUUUAAGAAUAAAAAAAAAAAAAUGACGAUAUCAACUUUGACACAUUACAUAUUCAAUCAAUGUUGACUUGACCAUCAAUGCUACAUAUCCGGAUGUAAGAGUAGUUCGACGAGUUUAUUUUUGUCACUUUUGUUGAUAUUUUGUUGGUUUAUGCUAUUAACUUGCAUCUAGUAAACUUGUUCAUAGCUUCAUCAUUUUCAGUUUUAGUGACAUGAUAUUUGUGUUGUAUUCAAUGUGAUUUACCGCGCGAUAUGAAUAAUAUAUAUUUUUAGUCAAAAUUAAUCAUGUCGGACCUGAGAUCUUUGGUUUGAUGGCGUUGAACGACCUUUGAGUAAGACAAUGUUAAACCAAAAUGAGUUUUAUACAAUGCCUCUGAAGUUUUGAUAAUAACAAAGUAUAAAAAGAACAAUUGAAUAUGCCAAUGUUGUUCAAGUAUGCUCGACCAUAUAUUAAAAUUCAAAGUAUUAAAUCAAGUUUUGAUUCUGAAAGAACAAGAUUAUGAACAUAUACAAGAGCAUCUGCAACUUAUGAGAAGCUGGAAAUUUGGAUCAGACUCUGAAUAAGUAAGACUGUGAAAGUCGGGAGUGUAACACCCUGAACCCCACAUACUAUUUUUAAAAGUAAUAAUUCAACAUUUAAAUAAACAUAUCAAGAUGUUACUCUUCAUUUUCAACACAUAACAAGUCUCCAUCUUAAAAUAUCAACUCACAGCGGAAAUAAGUCUCAACAACACAAAUGUCAUACAUCAUAUCUCAGAAUAAGUACAUCAUCAAAAUAAACUCAAGGUUCCUCAAACAUAAUAUGAUAACAUAAAUAAAAUCCCAACAUCCUAAUCAGAGAACCACUAGACAAGACUCCAAAAUCAAAGCGGUAAAAGAUGAGUAGGCUGCAAGCCGUCCUCGGAAACUCAUGGUAACUUUGCGUCCUCAACCUGCAAGUCUCCACCACAAGGGCGUAGGCGACCAUUUGCCAAACGUAGGGUAAGAUAUAAAUUUAACAUAGAGGAAAUAUGAACACAUAUAUAGUAUUAGGAUCGCAACAUCAUAUACAAGUAUUCAUCUUAAGCAAUACCAUAUUAACAUGCAUUCUCAUUGAUUGGUAAAAUAUACACAACAAAUCUCAAAUCAUCAUCACAAGAAUAUAAAAAAGUAAACACAUCAUUGAUUAAUCAUCCAAUGGAAUACAUAGGAUUCACACAUUAUCACUUUCAUUAAAUCACACAUUUUCCAUAAAAUACACAUAGUCAUGUAUGCAUCUUUCACAUAGAUUCACAUAGUCAAGUACUCAUCUUCUACAUAGACUCUCAUGUACGAAAUGUUCCUACUCGACUUUAUAUGCAUGUGGUACUGUUUUCGAUAUCAGAGGUAUUUUCUGAGUGAUUUCACCGUCACUUGGACUGACCAUGAAUGCAUGAACAUCUCAUCAUGACUCGACAAUGCAUAAUUCAUAUAACUCGACAAUUUACAUCAACAACAUCAUCACAUCGUAUAUUAAUUCAUCGUCGCUAUAUCAUCAUCAUCAUCAUCAUCAUCAUCAUCAUCAUUUUCAAUGUCAUUAUAUCAUCAUCAUCAUCAUCAUAUCAACAUCUAUAUAUAGUUCAAAUCAUCAUGUCAAACCAUAUCAAUAUGUAUCCACCUCGUCUCGCAAUCACAUUCACAGUCAUCAUCAUUAUAUAUUCAUAAGACAUUAUUCUACAUCAUCAAGUAUACUUCGUUAAUCAUCUAACAAGUUCACAGUCAUUUCAUGAUUCAAUUAUAAUUAAAUCACAAGUUUAUUUCUAACCAUUUCAAUUGCUAAGUUUACUUCCAUCAUAAGCUAGGUUAAUUACUCUUACACAUCAAAAUUAUACUUCUAUUAAUCAAGUUUAGAGGUUUGUGACAUAUUCACAUGCAUUGGAUACCUUAAAAUACCAAAAAUAUGAGUUUCCCACUAUAGGGAGGGUUGCACGGUAGUGCCAUCCAGGUGCACAGUCGUGCUCAUCAUGCAGGUAGGGAAAAGCUAUAAUUUUUGCGUUUUGCUCAGGAAGAACCCCUUUCAACACCAUUUUUCGAUCCAAUUCACACCAAACUAGACCCAAAUCAUAAAACUAAUGUUGUCUAAUCAAUUACACAUUAAUUUUACCUUAACUAACUUUAUUAUACUCAUUAUUAUCGUCAAUUAACAUGAACUUCAAUUGUUUUAAACUUAUCACUUCAAACCCAUUUUUAACAUGGUAAUUCAAACCCCAAACAUAGUAACAACCAAAUCAACAUCCCUUAUUCAAAAUGAACACAAAAAAAUUCAUCAAUUCACAUUAUAAACAUCAACUCAACAAUUAUCAACAAUUAUCAUGAAUUUCACCAAUUUCACAUAAAACUCAAAAACCCUAAUUCACCAUAAUCAAACAUUGAUUUUAACACAACUGUUAGGUUUGUAGUCUUGACAUGUUGGUGCGACAUCAUAGCGUGCCUUGUUCCGAUUUCUUGGAGAUUGUAUUUAAAUGUGAAAUCGCAGAAGAAAACUAAACGCAUCACAACUAAGAAAAGGUAGAAUAAAACCUUUCUACAAACAAAGCGCACAUCACUUGAAAGCAAAAUAAAUACGCAACUAAAUUUCAAAAAAGAUAUGCAUAAAUUAUCAUAGAAUAAGGCACCAAGUAACACGUUCUUACGUCUCAGAUUACCAAAUGGCUCUCCGAAAAAUAACCAGAGUAUGAUAAAAUUACAGAUUUCCCAAAACAAAAGGAACAUAAACUAAAAUACAAAGCACGAAAACAAAGAAGACACAACAACAUAACUCUUCAUCCACUAACUUUCCAUCAACCAAAAUCUUGGAGGGGUCCAGCUCGCUCACAUUAUCAUCAGGGUUAAAAUGCAGAACUUGCGCCCUAGUAUGCUCAAAGCCAUUGUCAAAAUAUAAGGCAAGAUCCCCCUUGCCAUCCUCAACGACGAAUUGAGCUUUGGCGAGAUCCCCUUACAACUAGACGACCUUCUUCUUCCAUGAAUCUCUCUCCAGCUCAACAACUUCUUUUUCAUCCUUCAUAUCUUUGGUCGUCUUCUCUGCAGUCUUCUUAUCCUCCAAGGCUUCCUUCAACCUACUUUCAAGACCCGUUGCUUUAUGCUUCCACUUCUCCACAUCUUCAUGAGCGUCUUUAUACUUUGCCUCUAAAGCACCAUGUUUCUUCUCCAUCACUUUUCCUAAUAAAAGGACCCGGAGCACUAAUAUUCUUGUAUCCAUUACUAGCUCGCCAAAUUUGCUUUUAACGCCAGCAUCAACGUCAACCUUAGACAGUGGCACUUUAUCCUCCAUGUAGCUACGAUAAACGCAUGACUUAAAAGUUGAAAACCCACUAACAUUACUAGAAUUUAAGUAAAAUCUCAUCAUCAAAUUAAACUCUCAUACCUACGAAAGUCGAAAUCUUUAUGCCAAAAAGAGUCAGCCACCUGAACAUUCAGAGAAAUGGUUCCCGCCACCCCGCUAGCAUAAUCAUCAUCCUUCCGACUGGCAACAAAUGUCCGCUUCGAGUCGCCCUUCCCAGUCCUCAUCUUCUUGCGUCUGGGCGAGUCAGUUUGCUCAGCCAGUACCCCAUUGCCUGCCGUCUCCAUGUUAUCAAUGUCCAUAUCCGAAUGUAACAUCCUAAAAUUUUAAGUCUAUAUUCAAAUGUAGUUAAAAAUAUAAAACAUAAUAGUGUAAUUAUUUUAAAAUACGCGAAGAUAAAAAUAAAGACAAAUAAAUAUGAUAUAAUUUCUUAUUAAUAAUUAAAUUUUAUUGGAUAAAAAGAAAAGGAGAAAGAAAGAAAAACAAAAAUAAAGGGAGUGCAAAUAACAAUUAUUUUUAGAAAAGAAAAAAAAAGUUAUAUACUUUCUCGAAUUUUUUUUCUGCCCUUGUUUAUGCAAAAAAAUACAAAAAUGCCCCACUUUUUCGAAAAAUUGCGUAAAUGCCCUACUUUUUCAGAAGCCCCUGGUACUACUCCACUUGGAGUUGCGGGGUACCCUAAAAAGUCACAAUUUUUUUGUCCUUAUUGUACGCCGCUACUUGGACUUGCGGGGUACUUUCCUACUUUUUUUUUUCCACUUUUUUUACUACCCCGCGAGUCUUAGCUUUUGCUUUUUUUUUUAAAAUUUUUUUUUUUUAAAUACCCCUCUACUUGGAGUAGAGUGGUAUAAUGAAGACAAAAAAAAUUCAACGUGUAAUAAUUACUCUCAAAUAAUAAAAAACUAAUUAAAAUUAUAUAACCAAUAAAAUACCAUCUACAAUGAUUAUAAAUGCCCGGCUGUCCCACACCUUCGUCUUCGACGAUCUCUUCCGCGAUUUACUUGAGGGUUAUGUUGGUCUUCGUCAUUUUUAUUUGUAGUUGAUUGUAUCUGACUACCAUAACCCAGUGACAACGACACAUCGUGUUCUCUUGUUGGCCAUCCCAUAUCCAGAAAUUGUUCAUUGGAGUUCAACGAAGUCGGAGAGAAGUGAGAUAAUAGGUUUGUUGGUGUUGGUGGGUGGUUGUAGUUUUGGUUGGUGUACAUUGGGUAUUGUGGGUUGUUGUAGGGGGGUAAUUGGUGUUGGACGGUCCAGCUUGGUUUGGGUCAUUAUAGGAGAAGUAGUUGUUGUUGGAUGUGUUAGCUUGGUUUGGUUCAUUGUAACCAUAAUUUGUCAUUGAAUUUUGUUGGUAAGUUGACUGAUAUUGGGGCUCAUAUGCAUUUCUCGGGGAGGUAUAUGGUGGUGGUUGGAUGAUAUUUUGUUGGGGGGUGUCGAGAAAUUCAUACAUUACAGAACCAUGAAUGUUUUGUGUUGUAUGUGGUUGGGAUUGAUGAUCUUGUAGUUGAGAAAAAAUGUCUUGAUCCCAAAAAUCAUCAUGAAUUGGUGUUUGGUUGUUGUGAAUUUCAGGUUCAUGUUCCGGCUCCGGCUCUUCUUGUUCGUCUGGAUCUGAAUCUGAUGGUUUUGUCUCAACUGAAAUCCUUAGACGUGGGUUGCAUGUGGUUGUCAACCACUCAAUAUACGCAUGAGUUGGGGUGAGUGAUCUUGGCCGCAUGUGAGGUAAAAUAUAACUCCGUCGGUUGUCCCAAUGUAAGCUCUCUUGUGGAAAGUGAAAACCAUUUGAUUGGUACCACAUCUUGAACCGUUUGUCCACUAUAUGGAAUUGUCGCAUGUCUCGUGGGGCCCCUGGUAUUUCCUGUGGCAAACCAAAUUCUAGCUUGACCCUAUCAGUUGGAUGCCAUUCAACUCUGUCAAAACAUAUAAGGUGAGUUGUUGCAGUCCACUCCCAAUAGUCUUCAGGAAAAUUGUGUGGAACAUUCUUGUAUGGUCUCCAUUUAAACUGGCAGAAGAGAGAAGUUGUAGUGUAAGGUUAACAAUUUUGAUAUAUAUAUAUAUAUAUAUAUAUAUAUAUAUAUAUAGUUCGAUAGGUGAAAUAUAUAUUCAUUAUUAAUUAAAUAACUCCUAAUUAAAUACUUGUAAAAAAACUCAUGAUUAAAUAAAUAAUUAAUUUAUAAUCGCGACAUUUUUUUAGUCCUAUAUUAAUUGCAUGUCCUACUUUUUUUUUUCUUACAAAAGAAAGUUAACAUAUAGCUUUUUAUUUCUUUACGACCAUGAAAGUGUUAAUAUGUAGCUUAAAUAACAAAAUAUCUUAAUUAUAUUUAAUUAGACCAUGAAAGUUAGUUUACCCUUGAAAUUACAUAAAAAAAAAAUUACCGUUCAAUAUAUAUAUAUAUAUAUAUAUAUAUAUAUAUAUAUAUAUAAACUCAUACAUUCAAAAAUCAAUUAUAAUAUUACUUGAUGUUCCAGUAUGUCAUCAAACUUUUUUCUGUAAGAUAUAGUGUCAUGGCUUGGAUUCUCGUAGUAUCUUGAACCUGCACCUGUCCAUCUAACAAAUGAUAUAAACAAAUUAGUAGCUAAUUUAUCAAAUAAUAAUAUUAAUAAGAAGCGAGAAUAUGCGAGGAAAUUAACAAAAAAAAUAAAUAAAUUAAUUGACCACGAUUACUUUAAUCCUAGCGGCUACUGGAGUGGGUUAUCAUUUCUCGGAGCGAUAUAACUCAACCGACAAUAUCCCCAAACUUGUAACAGAAAAUGACAUCCAGAUAGUGCUUUUAUAUUUGGGUGUGAUGCCUCACACAAGCCACGAUAAAGGUAAGCCAAAACUGCCGAUCCCCAACUAUAAUUUCUUGUUUCAUUAAAAUCCAUUAACAAAUACAACCAAGAGUUGUGCACAAAUAAUCCAGUUGUAUUAGGAAACAAGAACCCUCCAAAGAGGUAUAGUAGGUACCUCCUGUGUGUUGUAUUUUUACCUCCGGAGGAGAUUGUUCACUGAAGUUAUUAUCGACCAGAUUAUCCUUUAAUCACGACAACGAGAGAGUAAAACCAUCAGUUUUGUGUGCUGGAGGAGUUAUUCCCAACAAUUGAGCACAAUUAUUCCACAGAAGAUUUGGAGGAGCCGUAACAAUUGGUCCUCCAAAAGGUAAGCCGAGUAAAAUAUAUACGUCUUCAAACGUGAUUGUACAUUCACCCGUUCGAAAAUGAAAAGUAUGUGUUUCGGACCGCUAUCUUUCUACAAGAGUGGUUACGAUGUGCCUAUCAAUUUUGUAACGCCCUAUUUGAGAAACCUCAAAAAAUCCAGCUUGACGUAGAUAAUCUUCAAUAUAAGGACUUGGUAUGAUGUUUUGCCGUGUACGAGUGGUUAGAGGUGCACCCUCUGCAUCCUAACAAAAAAUAAUAAAGGAAUAAAAUUAAAACAUAAUCAAAAUAUAAAUUUAAAAAAACGUGAACAUAUUUAAAUUAAUAUUAAAAAAUAAAAAUGACAUUAACAAAUUAAUAUCUAUAUAUACCCAUCUUCUUAUAUGUUCUUCCAUGGAUCUAUGAUCAUUUUCCAACCACAAGUAUGCCAUUGCUUUAUAGAAUUUGAUUGAAAUAAUCUCUUAUGUGAGUGAGUAAGGAAAGGAUUGAGAUAAGUAGAAUAUGUGUAAAGAGUAAAAAUAUAGUUGUGGUAUUUAUAAUGUAAAACUAUGUGUAAAUGGUAGAAGUAGUAGUGUGGUAUUUUAAUCAAUGAAGUGAAGAGUUCCUGUGUUACUACUGCAACGCAUGCAAGCCAACAGUGUUCAAAUAAACAUAGAAAUGACAAUUGCAUCAAUAGCAGAAGCAUGGUGUUCAACAAUAUUGAAUUAAUUCGUAAACUUUGCCUCAUGAGAUGACCAUUGCAUGUAAAAAAUACAUUAAUUUCUUGCAAGAAAUUUUUGACUGAAAUGACCAAUGCAUGUUUUGAUCACGUGAAGCAUGCUAGCAAACAAAUGGCCGACAAGCUGCCUCUGAAUAACCAAUAGGAACGGCGCGUGCAAAUACUACCCCGCCACUCUGGGUUGCGUGGUACCCCCAGCUGGCGCAUGCUUUACAUACCCCGCCACUCCAGCUUGCGUGGUACCCCCCAGCUGGCGCGUGCUUUACCUACCCCGCUACUCUAGCUUGCGUGGUACCCUCUAGCCCGCUAGUCCAAACUGCGUUGUACCUUUUUUAAUUUUCCCGCUCGAAGGGCAGAUUAAAUUACAUGUUAGUAUAAAUAAAAGUGGUCUGCAUGAUAUCAUUGUAUCAAACCAUUCUACUUCAUACUCUUACUCAUUUCUUAAGAUCAAACCAAUUCAAUGGCACCAAAUAUAAACGUUUUUGUGUACUAUAAUGGAGAAGUUAAACAAAAUGAAUCCGGUAUUUUUUUUCAAAGUCAGUAUACCAAAGGUUUUAAAGUCAGCAUGGCUAGUACUUACUUGCAUCUCAAAAGAAGAAUUGCGGAAAAAGUAUGUCUCGAAGAUAAUAUGGUUGUGUCUGAAAUUAUGUGUCGGAAUCCUAUGUUUGUUGGAACUACCACAAUUCAUUACCAGGCGUUAAGAAUAACUGAUAACGACGAUGUCGAGUUUAUGUUUAACGUACAUAAAAGUCACAGUUCUUUGUCCUAUAUAGAGCUUUAUGUUACGUUUGAGAUGAAGAAUCCAACAUCUAAUUUUGAGUUAAAUUACCCAUCGAGUUCUAGUCAACACCAAAGUCUACCACAACACUACAAUCCGUCAUCGUCGCAAGAACACUACAACCCAUCAUCGUCCCAACCGCACUAUAACCCGUCUCCCAUUUAUGAUGCAUCCUUAUCGCAACCUUUUCAGUCAAAGUGGUCACAAAAUGUGUACGAACCAUCACAAAUAAUAACUCAACCUCAUCCCUCUCAAACACCAUCUCGUUCAACACAACCCAAAACCUUAAACGAUGAAAUCAAUAUAUUCACCUCCCAAUUUCAAGACCAACCAAAUGAUGAAGUUCAAGAUGAUGAAGACGAUGAUGAUGAAGAACUCCUUGCCGCACAAAACGGUGACGAGAACGAAGAAGACGAAGACGACGAUCUGCCACUACUACCAAUUUUACCAAUCAGAGCUUCUUACAACCCACCAAGGUCCAUGCGCAACGUCAAUGAUGACCACUCAACUGAACUUUAUCAUUCAAUGGCUCUUCCGGUCGAUCAAGGUAUUGCCCUAGGGAUGCAAUUUCAUAACAAGAAUGAUUGCAUUCUCGCAAUUAAAUUUUAUCACAUGAAAAAAUCAACGGAUUAUAUUGUGAAAAAAUCAGAUCCUGAAAGGUAUGUCAUCAAAUGUAAAGAUACAAAAUGUGGUUUCAAAUUGCGGGCCUCGUGGAGGAAAAAAACUGAUAAAUGGGAGAUUGGGAAAAUGAAUGAUCAUACAUGUGUCUCAACAGAAAUGACGCAAGAUCAUCAUAAACUUAGUUACAAUGUGAUAUGUGAAAGUGUUAAAUCACUACUACAUAUGGAUACUUCAAUUACAGUGAAGGUUAUAAUUGCACACAUCCGAGAGAAGUUUAAUUACACAGUUUCAUACAGAAAGGCAUGGAGAGCACGGAAUAAGGCGAUUAAAUCAAUUUAUAGUAAUUGGGAGGAGUCUUAUGAAGAACUACCACAAUGGUUGAUGGUCAUGGAAAAAGAUUUGCCAGGAACAAUAAUUGAUUUUCAAACGGACCCAUCAACAGAAGUGGCAAAUGAGACCGUCUUCAAGCGUCUUUUUUGGGCCUUUCGUCCGUGCAUCUCAGGUUUCGAAUUCUGCAAACCAAUUGUCCAAAUUGACGCAACUUGGUUGUAUGGUAAAUACAAGGGAACAUUGUUGUUAGCUGUUGCGCAAGAUGGGAACAACAAGAUAUUUCCCAUAGCUUUUGCAAUCGUGGAAGGCGAGACCAAGGAGGCAUGGAGUUUCUUUUUGAAAAAUUUAAGGCAGCAUGUCACCCCACAAGAGAACAUAUGCCUCAUUUCUGAUAGACAUGUGUCGAUAAAGAGCGCGUAUGAUGAUCCACAGAAUGGAUGGCACGAUGCUCCGACAAGCCAUGUUUAUUGUGUCCGACACAUUGCACAAAACUUUAUGAGAUCAUUCAAGGAUGGAGAACUAAAGAAGAAAGUUGAAUGCAUGGGUAAAAAUCAUAUCUCUUUCCACGUAAAUUCGACAUUUUAUUUGUUUAAAAUGACACAUCUAACUUUUUUCAAAACAAUGCAGGUUACGCCAUGAACAUCCCUACAUUCGAAUACUACCGUUCUGAAAUUGCUGUUGCAGACCGAAAGGCUUUAGCAUGGGUCGACAAUAUUCCCAAACAAAAGUGGACUCAAUCACAUGAUGAUGGUCGACGAUGGGGCCAUAUGACAAGUAACUUGGUAGAGUCACAAAACAACGUGUAUAAGGGUAUUCGAGGACUUCCGAUCACAGCUAUCGUGAAAGCAUCAUAUUACAGGUUGGCGGCCUUGUUUGCUAAAAGAGGACAUGAGGCAGCGGCAAGGGUAAAUUCUGGUGAGCCAUUCUCAGAAAACAGCAUGAAAUAUCUCAGGAAUGAGGUGAUUAAAUCCAACAGUCAUCAUGUCACACAGUUUGACCGGGAUCGGUAUACCUUUUCCGUCCGUGAAACCAUCGACCAUAAAGAAGGAUUGCCAAAGGGAGAAUACAAGGUGGACCUGCAAAAUAAAUGGUGUGACUGUGGACGAUUCAGAGCGUUACACCUACCAUGCUCACAUGUCAUUGCCGCAUGUUCUAGCUUUUCUCACGACUACAAGACUUUUGUCGAUAACAAAUUCACGAAUGAGUGUGUAUACGCCGUAUACAACAUCCACUUCGACGUGGUUCACCACCAGACAUAUUGGCCUAAUUAUGAAGGACUGAAGGUGGUUCCCAACAAGUCCAUGUGUAGGGUAAAGAAAGGUCGUCCACCAAUUACUCGCAUUAGGACCGAGAUGGACGAUGUGGAAACUGAGAGAAGAUGCGGCGUUUGUAGGAUGCCUGGUCAUUCCCGCAAAGAUUGCAUUAAUAUUAGACACCAGUAAAAAUCUAGUCUUUAUUUCGUUUGUAGGAUGUAUGGUCAUUUCCACAAAUAAUUGUAGAUUUUAUGGUAUUUUAUUGGUUAUAUAAUUUUAAUUAGUUUUUUAUUAUUUGAGAGUAAUUAUUACACGUUGAAUUUUUAUUUUUUUUUGUCUUCAUUAUACCACUAUACUCCAAGUAUUUAAAUUUUUUUUUAAAAAAAGCAAAAGCUAAAACGCAAGUCCAACUUGCGGGGUAGUAAAAAAAGUGGAAAAAAAAAAGGAAAGUACCCCGCAAGUCCAAGUAACGGGGUACAAUAAGGACAAAAAAUUUGUGACUUUUUAGGGUACCCCACAACUCCAAGUGGAGUGGUACCAGGGGCUUAUGAAAAAGUAGGGCAUUUGCGCAAUUUUUCGAAAAAGUGGGGCAUUUUUUUAUUAUCUUUGCAUAAACAAAGGCAGAAAAAAAAAAUUCUACUUUCUCCCCACGUUUUCUCAAAAUUUGUUUCUAAAAUAAUAAUAAAAAAAGAAAUAGUUAUUUCAGAAAGAGAAACCGUGUGAUAUUUUUUAAUUAGUGUACACCUACACUUCUCAUGUGCCUAUAAAUAAGAUGCUUAGUUGAACAUAAACUCACACUACAAAACUCUCCUCUCUCUAAAAAAUCAGGUUAGUUCUCUCUCUCUCUCUCUCUCUCUCUCCUUUUCUGAACUUUCUCUAUUCAAUCUAUAGUCAUUCUUUAUUCUUUUGAAAGAGACAAGAUUUACUACUAAAAUAACCUCAGAUUUGGUCCCCACAACCCUUCUUUUGGGAAGAACAACAACAUAGUAUACCCUUCUUUUGGGAAGAACAACAACAUAGUAUUAGAAUGUUCUUUUAUCAGAUGAGAAAGUGACAGUAGUUUAGUUCUUUUCAACCUAAUCAAACCAUGAAAAUAGUUUAGCUCUUUUCAACCAUUCUUUUUCAACAGAAACAUCAUUCAAUAAAAUAAAAUAAAGAGAUCUCAGAUCUGUUUUAGACUUUUAGUAGAAAAAAUUACACGAUUUAAUUAUUGUAUUUUUUAUACUGAUACAAACUAUGAAGAUUGAAACAAAGUUCAUAAGAAAGUUGAGAUCUUGUUUAAUUCAUAUUUUUAGUUUAAAGAAAAAUAAAGAAAUGAACAUUGUUUUAAGAAUGACGUAAUGACUAUUAAAUGGCUUUUAAACAUUCUGACUAUAUAAAAAGGUAGUAACAUAAGUUUCAUUUGAAAUAAAAUAAAAUCAAGCUAUUAUUAAAAUAUAUCUAAUAUAAUCUGAAGAAAAAAAAAGGACGUGAUACAGAGAAACAAAGGAAUUAGAAAACUUUAACUCGUUAUCUCUAUUAUUAUGACCUUGAUAAUGACUAUAGUCUAAUAGAUAGUUUAUUUUGGGUGAGUAUUCUAGGUGAUAUUGGAGCUGCUUUCGACGGAAACAAUAUUGCAACCACUUGCGAAGAAUCCGAAGGUAAGGGGAAUUACUACUAAUAAAUUUUAAAGAUUUUGCAUAAGUUAUGUGCUUAAGUGAUUAUAUGUGAGUAAAUAACUCUACUUGUGAGAGUUAAUUUCUCGAUGAUGUGGUAAUUUCUAGCGAUCAAGUACAUGUCAAAGGACAUCGACUUAUAUGUGUUUUAGUUAAUAUAAUUAGGAGUUUUUGAAAAUAUAAUACAUAAGUAGAAGAAAAAGUUUUGUAAAUGAUGAAUUGAUUAGAUAGUUAUAUUAUGUUUAUUUGGUAUUACUCUUGUGUAAGUGAAUGAGCAUAUGAAUUUCAAUAAGUGUUAACUGAUUUCGAUGAGUGAAAUUAGUUGGAAAUAUAUGAUUUAAAGUGUCAAUUAUGAUUCGACGCGAUAAUUUAUAAUGUUAAUCAUGAUUAAAAACUUCUCUAUAAAAAGAAAUGAUCUAAGAGAGAUAGUUGUAUCCCACCUCAUUAAUUUUAUGGUAUCAACUCAUAGGUAUGUUGUAAAGGAAAGAAACUUAAGAAUGCCAAACUAUGAUCACUAACUUAGUACGUAGACAUAGUAUAUAUAGUUAUAUUGUACGUGUAGGAAAUUCUUUAAAACAAAUGUAUAUGUGCUUUUUAACUAGGCAACAUGAAUUAUUCUUUGUUAAAAUCUCAUGAAUAAAAAGAACAUGUACUAGUUUAAUUGAAUUACCUAAGUUCUUACUUACUGCUGAAAUUUCUAUGCUUAUAAAUAAAUGAAAAAGAACAUAUGCUGGUCAUUAAUUGUUCAGUUAUUAUGUACUGGCUUGAUUUACUUGCUGGAAUUUCUAUGCUUAUACAUAAAUGAAGAGGGACAUAUGCUGGUUAUUAUUUGUUGAGUUAUUAUAUACUGGUUUGAUUUACAUCACUGUACUAAUUGAAUAAAAUUCUGAUGUGGCUAAUCAAUUUUAUAAACAUAAAUGGUUAAUUGUUUGACAUUGUUGAGUUGAAUAUGAGUGUUUUGUCUUGUCUAGAAAGUAGGGACAAUUAAGGAGCUAUAACAGGUCCCUAUACACUCAGGUGUAGAUGAGAAUGAGGAUAGUUAUGGUUUGGUUACUUUGAGGAUCUAUCGAGGGCACUUGUGUUUCGAACGCCUAUCAAUAGUUGGGGAUUGCUUCCCGGCUGAAAGUACUCGUACUACCAGACACGGUGAGCCUGAAAAAACUAGACUAUCUAUGAUAAGGUAGUGCGAUCGGACUAGAAUGAUUAGAGUUUAAGCAUAUCUUGCUCAAAAUACUAAUAAUCAUGAUAUAGUUGCCGAAACGGCCUUAUGCUCAUUAGAGUGGAACCUCCAUGGAGUAGUGAAUUAUGAGAAGAAAAUAAACUAGAGUCAAGAAAAAAAAAGUCAAAAGAGUUCAUGCAUGUGUCAUGUUGAAUGUCAAACUAUUAAUUCAAAUUGGACCUCUUAAAAGAUAGUUUUUUUUUUUUUUUUUUUAUAAUAUGCUUUGUGAUUGUUGUUGGACAGUGAAUGAAAAGAAAAUAUUAUAUCUAUGUAAAUAUCAUUUUACCUUGCUGUAUAUAUAUUAUUUUCUUUUUCCUUAUGUAAUAAAUCACGUGGAAAACUUGUGUACGAGUAAUUCACCCUUCUUUGUUUGUUUUUGUAUCUUGUUGUUUUUUUUGGGUAUGUUCGGACGUUUUUAUAGAUGAUGCCAGAAAGACAUUUAGCUCACUCGGGAACCCGCAUGAUCGAGUUCCUUGAGGUAUUUUCUUUUGCAACACUUAUUAAAGAAGAAAGUAAUAAUAAAUCAAAACACUCACACAAAGACGCCUCAAGACUAUUGGAAUCACCCUAUCGUAUCAAAAGCUCAUGAAUAUCCAUAAGUAAAAACUUCUCCAAAAAGAACACCAUACCCUACUCAUAGGGUGCCAUCUUAUUAAAAUCAUACCCCAUCACUGCAAUCGGAGCAAUGAUCCAACAUAAAGGAAACUUUGGUUUUCCUUCCACCAUCACCAACGAAGUUGAGCCCUCAGGCUCUCCUUGCACCCUAACAAACGAAUCACACCAAUCCUUCUUAAAGUUAGAAGCAUAAGGAGGGAAAAGUUUUUUACUAGGAUAGGCACUAAUUGAAACCCACAUUCCCUUGUUUACAUCUUUCGUCCUAUAAAAAUGGAAGAAGACGCCAACAGAAGGCUCCAAACUCAUCCUUACAAAGUAGUUUGAAUCCACGAAUAAACGCCUAGCUAUUAGGACGUAUUUGCGAAGGCGCCACAUUCAGAAACUUUAGCACAUCCAUCUCAAAAUCCGUAAAGGGUCGUCACCCCAAACUCUUCCAACACCGUCAUAUACAUAAGAAAGGAAUCAUCCCUGACACCCUCCAAACGCUGAUCGCACACUCUCUCGCCUACAUCACAGGGCGACACUGUCACAUCUUUCUCGUUCUCAGUAGCAGAAGUAUCCAUCUUGUUUCAGAAUAAAUUGAUAUCCGAAGGCGACAUAUAUGAAAACACCGCUCGAAGAACUUCUUCAGCUAAAUGAUUCAUCUCCAACUCAUAAGAAUACGUCAAACACAUAAUCUCUUUUUGAGUAGACGGAAGAGGCAUAUAAUGACAAAUCUCUUGACAAGUUUUCCCCCUACGACAAAUCACUAUCACUACCAUUAGAGCUAUCGCUACUAGUGUUGCUAUCAUUGGACAAUUCCCCUAAAACCCUACGAUAAAAAAGCCCUAAUUCGUAAGCUUCCCAAUCAAUCAAGUCAUUAGGAUGUGUUGCAUGUCUUAAAGAAUCUCUCCUCAGUUGGUCUCUCUCAUCAAAAUUCGUAGGAGAGAAGGCGAAAAAUGAGAGAAGGAAAAUGGAAGAGUACUUGAGAAGAUUGAAAACGUGAGCUUAGAAAUCCAGACAAUCAGCUGGCAAGUGCGCGAAUACGGAGAACUAAAAGGCGAAAAAUGCGGAAGUGAAAUGAGGAAAGGAAGGAAAUGAAGGGUCAAAGAGUUUUAGAGGACAACAACAAUUAAAACCCCCUCAAAAAACACGCUCAUCCUUGGCACGAUUGGAGACACGUGUCAAGAUACACCCAGAUUCGAACACGUCACUAUCAUCGAAAGGUCACACAUUUUGGACCAUACAAUCAUGUUAAAAAUGAAAGAUCUCGUCGAUAUAGAAUUUCAAAAAACUCGUUGCCAACUCCUCAAACAGGAAACUUACUCGCCGUGCUGUUACAAAUCACUUCGCCUUGUCCCAAGACUCGUGGUUGGGGGCUGUGAACAAACAUCAGGCAUAAAACGCAUGACUCGACUAGCACACACCCUAGGGGGCUCUAGGAUAAAGCAUAAUCACCCAAGGGGGACUCUGUAAGCUCCAACAACAACAUCCAAAGACAUACACAAAAAAUACUGAUAAACGUAAAAUAAAUUCCAAAUGCUAAUUAAUCAUUUCGCCUUGUCCCAAGACUCGUGCUUAGGAGGCUUUGGACCGUCAAUAUCUUCUUAAGGACCUAGAAGUCCUCCCAAAGGGCAUUUAGACCCUCCUAGAUGCCUAACACCCUUCAAAAGGGCUCUAAGGCCCAACACGCGCCCUUCCUAGGGAGCCGCCUCUACCAGCUUCUAAAACCUCCAAAGCUCGGCCUAAAUACCUAAUACGAUUACAAACCCUAAUACCUCAUUACGUAUAGCUUAAGAACCAUAAAUCAGGCCAAUAGAGGGCUAUAAAUACAACCUUUGAGAGCCUUCUGAAGGCAUGACCAAUACAUUACAAACCCUAAUACGAUUAUUGUACUUUUGCAAGUACAAUGAGGAAGGCGAUAUUGACAGGGAAAGUUUCCACCUAAUUUGGGCUAAAAACAUGGACUUUUGGGGGUAAAAAAGUCACAAAAAGUGACUUUUUUCGCAAGGAGCAGGGCGCCUAGCGCAUAAUGGCAUGCACCUAGCUCAUGUUCCUGCUAGGCUGAGGCGCCUAGUGCCCCUUUCAUGCGCCAGACGCUUCAGUUGUUUAGCUUAGGGGCACCUAUUGUGCACCUGGGUGCAUAAGUGCCUUUUCAGUGCCUUUUCAGUGCUGUUUUUCUUGUUUUCUUUGCCUUUUGAGGUGUUUUCUUCAAUGUAAGAUGUCUUGGAACUUGAGAACAAAAUUCCUUCCUUUGUAAAGACUUCUGAGGCAUCUUGAAUCUUCAUUAUUCAUCUUCCCAAGGUCCACAUAAAUCUUCAAAUGUCUUGCAUUGUCUGAUUUGCUUGAUUUCUUCGUGAAUUACUUCAACAACACCCUAAAAUUGCUAUUUUUCAGGAAGAAUAGAAUUACAAACUCAAUAUAAAAUACAUUACAAAUGUACCGAAAUCAUAGGCAAUUGAUCAAAUACUCUUCUUCUUUGCUGGUAAAACCUACUGAAAUUGACUGAAAAAUGUAACAGCCCUAUUUUCGUUAGAUUUAUUUUAAUUGUUUUAAUAUGUGUUUAUUUAUGCUUAUGUGUGAUUAUUAUCAUUGGGUGCAUUUUUAUGGGUUUUCGUGUUGGAAGGAUAAUUUAGUAAUUUCAUGUAAGGAUUAUUUUUAGUGUUUCAAGUGAGAACCAUUAUUUACUAAGUUACUAGUGUGGUAAUUAGUUGUGAGCCGGUAAGUGAUCGUUGUUAUUAUUUUACCGUUAAGGGAGUAGAAACAUUUUAGAAUUAGUGAAUUAGUGGGUUAAGCCCACUAAGGCAUUAGGGUUAAACCCAAUUGAGAAGAGCCUAUAUAAGUUCUAGAUUUUAGAGAAAAAUAGGUUUCCACUUCAUUUCAUAAGAAUUUUGAGAGAGGUAGAGAUAGAAAGUUCAAGAGAAGAGGAAAAUGGUUAGAAGGGAGAAAAGCUUGAAGACUCAAGAGGUGAUAGAGAUUCUAGGACCUAAAUUGAAGCUUUUGCUAGGAUUUUUGCUAAUUGAGGUAAGGGGGUUAGAUUUCAAUCAUAAUAACUUAGUUGUAGCUUUUACCCUAAUUUCAUGUAUAAAUGCUUAUUUGUAUAAAGUGAUUAUUAUGAAAUUAAUUGAUGAAAUUCGUGGUUAUGCUUUGAUGUGAUGUUUGGGUAUGUGAAAUUGAUGUUAAUUAAGUUGUUGAUGAAGAAUUUACAUGCUCAAGUUAUGUAUAUAUGUAUACUUGUGUUUUUGCUCAAAAUUGAUGAAGUAUAAUGUUAUUGUUGGUGAAUUGUUGAUGAAUUCACUUCUGAUUGUUGUUGUUGUGAUUGUGAGUAGUUGUUGUUGAUGAUUGAAACCUUGGGUAAUCUUAACCAUAGAGCUUGAAGUGAGUUUCUAUUGUUCUUGAAGUUUUCAUGAAAAAUAGGUCAAAUGGUAAUUUUGUUGAAAUUAUGUUGGAUUCAAGUUUUUAUAUGGAUUUGAGUGUCUUUUCAUGUUUAGACAAACUUUGGGAUCAAAUUUGGGUAUUGGGUCAAAAUUGGGAUUUUGGGGUGAAAAAUGAGUUUUUUUUUGUAGUAGAACUCCAGAAGCCUGUCACAACUCGCCAUGGCGAGCGGGAGGCGAGCAGGAGGUGCUUCCUGUGUGUUAACUCCCCAUGGCGAGUGAUUCACUCACAGGGCGAGCUGCACAGUGACAUCAUUCCCUGUUUCGCAAUCUUGCGUCUUUUUCACAUAUUUUUGUUUUGAAUUGGUCUUUGGUAUAAAUAUGAAAGUUUUAGAUAAUUGUGUUAGCUUUCCAGUGGCGUUGGUUUGACUUGAAAAUGAUUUUUGGUUUUUGAGUUAUGAUGAAAAUACUCCAAGGAGGUCUUAGUGAAAUUUUAUGAAAAUUCCGCAUAACUAUUUCUAAGUCAACCCAAAACUUAUGGAUUGUUUCCAAACUUCAAAACUUGUGUACUAUGAGUUAAAUUAAUGUGUUUAAGAGUAUUUAAGCUACGUUGUGGUGAAUUUAACUUGGUUUUGUUUUGAAAGUGAAUUGGUUUUACAUUAUGAGUAAAGCGAUACGAACUUUGCAAAACUUUGAAUUUAAGUGAGUUGGCCUAUGGGACCUUGAUGUAUACACUAUUGCACUCAUAUGUGAUUGGUGUAUAUACUUAGUUGAGGUUUCCAAAUGUGUUUACCUUGUUUUGUCGGAUAACUUGAAAAUUGGUAAAAUGAUACGAACUUGUCGUAACCUGUGAUUUUGAUGAUUUUGUCGUAGUAGGCCGGUGAAACGCACAUGUAUAUUCAACUACACUCAUAUGUGAUCUAAGUGUAUACAUAGUCGAGGCCCUAGAGUUUAUUUACUUGGUGUUAGUUCAUUUGUCUCAAUUAUUUUAAAGUUGUAAAAUGAGAGUUGAACUUUGUCAAAAAUGGUUCUUUAAAGCCAAUUACCUUAUAAAUCUUUUGUAGAUAACUUUAUAUGACUAAAUGAAGAUAUGUGAAUGAAUUUUUAAUUGUUGAAUAUGAUAUUAUCAUAAGGUGUUGCAUUUUCUCUUUACUUGGAAUAUGAUAAGUAUUUGGAAUGGUGGAACUAUACUAUAUGGUUGAUGUUGAUUAAUAUUUAUAUAUCAAUUGAUGUUGAUGAUUACUGAUAAUUAUGAUGAAAAUGUGAUGAUGACUCUUAAUUGGAUUAUGACUUUAUUGUUGUGUGGACGUAAAUAUUUGAUAAUGCAAUUGUUGUUGAUGUUAUCCUUUAUAUUGUUGUUGAAUAUUUAUGAGGUGAUUUUGCAUUGUCAAGUCUUUCCUUGUAUGUCCAUGCAUCAUAGUCAUGUUGAGUCUUGAUGUUGUAAAGGAGGGUUACUCUUUUACUUUGGUGAUAAUGUAAGACGGGUGUGAAAUUUUACAUAUGAUGUUUUUGUUGCAUCAUGUGUGACGACCUUGAGGUGAUUUGGUACCACAUGCAUAUAUGUGUCGGGAUUAGGCACAUAUCAUAUUGGCGUGAGUCUUAAUUGAUGUAUUUGAAUGAUGAUUGAUGAUGAUAAGUGUGUUUGAUGAAUACAUACUUGUGAUAUUUAGAAUUGUUGCAUGAAUGUGUAUAUGGAAGUUAAUUGCUCAUGAUUAAUUAAUUGAUACUUGAUUUGAUUCAUUUAUGUCUAACUAUUUAUGUGGAUUAUGAUUGUUGUAAAGCUUACCCCUAGUGGUUUUGACCACCUACCUGUCUAUAUGGAUGGGUAGACGAAGUGCAAGAUUAGUCGCUUUGGUGAGUUGCUUGGUGAUUGCUUAGAUAGAGGGAGUUAUCUCCGUUAUCGUUUCCUUAGAGUCUUAGGAUAGGCUCUGAUCUAGGAUGUAUGUCUUAUGAUUAUUCUAGAUUGUUUAUUUUGGAUUUAUUUGUGUUGUGGAGAUUUACCCAAUUGUCGGAAUUUGAAGAAUUUUUAUGUUGAUGUAUUUUGACCUCAUGGCAUGUAUACUUUUGAAGUGUAUGGUUUAUAUCCGCUGCAACGGUAUAGAAUUUUUAUAUAUGCUUGUUAUUUGAACAUUGUUGAUGAUGUGGCGUCUAUUUCUUGGAUAUUUAUAUUAUUCGCGUGUUUUAUUGCUUUAAUAGAAAUAGGGCGCUACAAAAAACAUGCUAAAAAUAACGUAAGAUGUCCUGUCAUCAUACAACGAUUGAGAAAAAGAUAAAGAUUGUCUAAUACCCAAGACUUCUUACAUAACUAUUUCAUCAAAGCAGAAUAGUUCAAAAACUGGAAGGUGUGGGUUUUCAUGACCUAGGAAUACAGGUAGCUCAAGUGAUGACAACAUAAUUUAUGGGAAAUAUGAGAAUCAUCAAGUCUGUGGUAAUGUCAAAUGGAUUCUCAAUCAGAAAAGAAUGCAGAACCUUUAUCCCAGACUUUCCCUCGAUCAUCCAAGAACCAAAUACCAAAGAUCUAGCAGACCUAGUGUCACAAGCUUCUGAAGAUCUAAUCUGACAUGGACCAUGCUCCUAGGGCAUGGACCAUGCACCUAGGGUAGGGUGCGUUUCACAGUCACAUGCGCCUAGGGCAUGGAGUGUGCUCCCUGAGAACUAAAAAAGUGUGGGGCAAAAUUGAUUUUUUUUCGACUUUUGUGUUGUUAUUUUAUGUUGUGAUUUUCUCAGAUUGGAGUGGAGGUAGGAUGUGAGAGUUCAACAGAUCACCAUUUGUAUGACUGAACAGACUAUUCAGAAAAUCUGAAUCAGUGUUUUGAUAAAUGGUUUAGCUAGAGGGUAAUGAUAUAGGUGGCGAAGGAAUAAUGAUGGAUGGUACUGAAGAAAUGUUAACAUAUUAUGUAAGCUCAAGAUCAAUACCUUUUGUAUUAUGAGAUUCUUCUGCUUUGCCUGGUGAGGUUGGCUCAACGGUAGCUGUUGUGAGGUUGGCUCAACGGUAGCUGCUUCUGUGACUAGCAUGCUGACUUCUUCUGCUUGCUUCUGUUGCUUCUCUUGGUUCUCACACUCAUCUACAUCGAUGAAUAUUAGAUGACACAAAUCUUCCUUAGCAUGUACAUUCUUCUUCCUUUCUGGUGAGGGAAUGAGUGAGUGAAUAGUACCAGAGUUCCUUGUGAGCUUGGAAAAAUCCGUUUUGUAGACAGAUCACAAAGUCACAUACUCUUAAUUUGUCUCUGAGUCGGUUUUGGAUUGCCUCGUCUUUUUGGGUGCUUGAGAAACUUUCUCAUCACCUUUCCUCUUAACCUCGACUUUCUUUAACUUCUUUGUUGGAGGAGAUGUUGUGACUUUGGAUGAUUUCCUCUUAUUCUUCUUGUUGUCUGCAGUUUCUGAGUCACCAGGAGUUUAAUCCGGAAAGAACUAAUCCGCAACUAAUUACUAAUAUUUUUCAUUGAAAAAAAAUAAUUUUAAAUAAGACUGGUACCUUGGUCUGUUGUAAAUUUGUAAGAACUAAUUUGACAGACAAUGAUAUAACUCAAAGACUAAUUUAUUUGUAAGUGCAAUAAUUUUGUUACUAAUUUUUGACCGUAAAUAACACACAAGUUAGCAGAAGGACCAAGUUGUUCAAUAUAAUUCAAAAUGUGAUUGUUUUUGCCAUGGCAUCCCCCAGUUUUUCUAUAAUUACACAAGAUUCCCUUUGUCUCGAUGGUUAGGAAGUACAAUUUUCUUUUGGAUGUCUCGUGUCUGAGUCCUAAUUCCCCUCAUUUUUAUAUUUCUAUUAUAUUAUAUUUUAAAUUUUAUUAAAAAAAUGUUCUUGAGGGGGAAUCGAACACGCACCACUACACUGAAUUCUAGCAAAAAACUGACCCCUAGACCGGUUACUGAUCUGAAGAAUAUUAUGAAACAACUAAACAUAUAUUCCAUAAAUUUUGGCACCCCCAAGAUAAAAACUCAAGAUCCGCCAUUGCCUAACUCAAGGUCCUAAAUACGCCACUACCAUUAACUAUAAUUAAUAAGAGUGUUUUAGAAAAUGAAACAUAUUUUGAACAUAUUUCUUAUCAUUUCUUUAACAAUUAUGUAAAACUCAAAAGGAACCCUUAAUUUGAGACAGAGGAUAUAUAAUAAUCGAUGAAGUUUAAUAUCUGCAAAAAAGUGUUAUUAAGUGAAGUAAACUUAACAAGGGUGACACUUGUUUUCUUUUGGUAAGGUGUGGGAGCACUCUUGACUGAGUUUCUAUUUUUUUUUUUUAUAUUCUUUUGAAAGUUGUAGUGGUGUAAUUGGGUGGUUAGUUGAAGUAAUUUUCGUUUUGGUUCUUGCUUGAUCUAUUUUGCAUUGUGAAAUUUCAAUUCUUAGUUUGCUUUCUACAUUGACGGAGUUGCUAAGUUGCAAUCAAACUUUUGAGUGUGUAUUAAUUAUAACAGUAAGAGUGUUGCUAGCACUACUCUUAUAUAAAAUCAGAUGUAUUUUUAAAUUUAUUUAUUUAUUUUUUUUUUUUUAAUUUCUACGAAAGUGGUGCACUUUUCCAUGAAUAUGCUUUUAGUGCAACUCCUUACCAAUGUAGUCAAACAAUUUCUUAAAACUCAUUGUUAUUAGUCAUUUCGAAACAAUGUAUUCACCAAGACAAAGGAGUGGGUGGAAGGAUAAUGGGUGCAUGCACAAUCAAGAAAAAGUUAGGUGAACAUUACAAUCAAAAUAUAUAGCAUAGAGCAUCAAAAUUUAUCGUAUGAAACAAUGUUUUUCUAAAAUAUGAAUGUGAACAAAUAACCCUUCAACUCAUAAGAUGAUCUUUAAUAUAUAGAAUUAGAAAGUUAGAGUAUCAGUACACCGAAAUUUAUAUAUUCAAAAGUGAGGCGUAGUUGGUUUUCCUCUUUAUGUAGUAUAGUUCGGUUUUUCCAUUUUAUUAUGGUACUUAUUCCUAUCAAAUUGAUAAAUCAGCUUUAUCUUAUAAUUGAUUUAACUAAUGAUGACUUGAACAUCAAUAUUAUAUAUUCGGAUAUACGAGUACUUCAUCGUGCUCUUAAUUUAGAGAUGUUUUGAGUUUGUUUACAAAUUGAAUCUUUGAAUUUUAGACAUAGAACUUGUACUCUUUUAGAUAUAAUAUACCGAUUUGAAUGGAUAAAUACCGUAAUUCCAAACAUAUAUUUUUUUUUCACACACAUACCUCAUCCAUUACGAAACGCAGGAACUAAAGCUAUAUAAUAUAGUGAAGCUAAUUUAAUAAAAAAUAUAUAUAUUUGGUGAUGCUAAACUCAGUCUAACUUAAUGCCAGUUCAAAAGGAACACUGUGGUAUGGAGGAAUUCUUUGUUUUGCAUUUAUAAAUGGCAACUAUACCCUAUUAAUCAUCAUCAUAAAAAUAAUUUUUAUAAUGUAUGAGACCAAGUUUCACGUCUCUAUUAUUUUUCAUCAUUUUUUAGAAUUGUACGAUCUUGUACCAGAUCUUCGUUUAGUUAUGAUGAUAGCAACCACUCUCACUGAAAAAUUAUAUAAUAACAUUUUUUUGGCAUAUUUAAUUACUGAUCCUGUCGGUGUAUUAUUGUAAAAUUAGGCAAUUUGUCCAAUCAAUUCACACAUAAUUUCAAACCUGGCAACUAUAUAAAAACAAAAUCAUAGGUAAAUAAUGUAGAAAAUCACCAACAACCCUUGAAUUUUGUUACAAGAAAGGGCCAAGUCAUCACCUUAUCAAGAUUGUGAGUGGAUUCACAAAGAUCACGACUAGUAUAAAAGGAGGAAGUCACUCUUGUGUUUUCUGCACCAAACUCAUAAGUCACUAACAUGGCUUCCUCAAACUUCCUAGUGCUGCUUCUUUUUGCUCUAUUUGCCAUUCCUCAGGGUCUUGCCAAUUAUGAGAAGCCUCCGGUUUACCAACCACCGGUGUAUAAGCCACCAGUUGAGAAACCCCCGGUCUACAAACCCCCUGUAGAAAAGCCACCAGUAUAUAAGCCACCAGUAGAGAAGCCUCCAGUUUACAAACCACCGGUGUACAAGCCACCUGUGUACAAACCCCCAGUAGUGAAACCCCCAGUCUACAAACCUCCUGUUUACAAGCCACCGGUGUACAAGCCACCAGUUUACAAACCACCAGUAGAGAAGCCCCCAGUUUACAAGCCACCUGUAUACAAACCCCCAGUAGUGAAACCCCCAGUCUACAAACCUCCUGUUUACAAGCCACCAGUUGAGAAGCCUCCAGUUUACAAGCCACCAGUAGUGAAGCCACCUGUUUACAAGCCCCCAGUCUACAAGCCACCAGUAGUGAAGCCACCUGUAUACAAGCCUCCAGUCUACAAGCCACCCGUUUACAAGCCUCCAGUUGAGAAGCCUCCGGUCUACAAGCCACCUGUUUACAAGCCCCCAGUUGAGAAACCUCCAGUCUACAAGCCACCGGUUUACAAGCCUCCAGUCGAGAAGCCACCAGUUUACGGACCUCCUCACCACCCAUAGGACUCUCGGAUGCUUUUAAGUAAAUAAGUUAAAUAAGAGAUAUAUAAUGUUUCCAAAGCAAGGAUUAUAUAUUCUUGGAAUCUUCAUUUUAGUCUUUUGUUUACAAAUCCUAUUACCAAGAUAAGAAUGUGAAAGAAAAUGGUGCAUUUGUACUCCAAGUUAUGAAUAAGAACGUUGUGAUUUAGCACUUUUUAAUUUGUGUUGGUUGACUAAAUUGGACAUAGUAUAUAUAUACUCUACUUAAUACUCUGUCAUAUCAGUAAGGUGCAUGAAAGUUCAAUUUUCUGUAGUAGACAUAACGAAUAAUUAAUUUAUGUUUGAAUCUAGAAUUUACUAAACUUCACGUACUUGGAAUUUCAUUGCAUUAUAGCUUGACUCAGUAGUAGCUUUAGUGAAAAAUGAUUUUGGUGCUUAAAAUUUUAAGAGUUGGAGUUUGGACAAAUUAUACACUCAUAUAAUUUAGUUAUCUUUUCAAAUUUACAAUUACAAUUUUCAAGGUUCUAUAUUUGUGUUGAUGCACCAAUUAAGAGAAUGAUCAAGAAAAUUAGGUUUUUAAUUGGUUUUUAUCGAUGAUUUCUGAAGAUAUAUUUCGGCAGAUGAACUAAUCCUUCAAUUUAAGAGAUUAAAUUGCCAUUUUACAAAUUUCAAUGAUUAUAUUAUUACCUAAUCUUAAAUAUAAUUUUUAGGGCUAAAACGAUGAUUCACUCAAUAUAUAUUGUGAUUUCUUAUUUUUUUUAUGAUAUAAAGAUAGCUGAAGUUGUGUGAUAUACAAAGUUAUAUUUCCUUUGGAAGAUAAGAGUCCCCCACCAUAUUGACAUGAAAGUGAACGUGGGAAAAUAUGUGCAAUUAAGGUUCCAAAUAUUAAACAAUAGCCACAAUAAUUGUCUAUAACUCAUAACAAAUAUAAGAACUUGAUAAGAAAAAUAAUAAAUAUAAGAACAUGAGCAGGCCAUAGUUUUUUAGCCCGAGAAGCUUCAUCUUCUUUUUAAGUCUAACAUUUUUUAAUCUUCAUUCAAAGAAGAUUGGUGAUUUUGGGAUAUUUUUAUAAGAUAGGUAAAUAAUGAAAUUUGUGUUGUACUCGAAGAAAUCUACCACACGAUUUGAAUGAAUAUAUUACUUUUAGUCAAAAUAAAUUAAAAUAAAGAAUGUAACAUUUCAAACUCACUCACAUAUAAAGAAUGAAUUUACAAUCUUUAAAACACAAAUAUUUAAUCCUUAAAUCUAACACCUCUCUUAGUUUUAGCGAAAUGAACUUUGUGUUGUACUCGAAGAAAUCUACCACACAAUUUGAAUGAAUAUAUUACUUUUAGUCAAAAUAAAUUAAAAUAAAGAAUGUAAAAUUUCAAACUCACAUAAAAAGAAUGAAUUUACAAUCUUUAAAACACAAAUAUUUAAUCCUUAAAACUAACACCUCUCUUACAUUUAUUUUGUUUACGUACCUUUAUUUUGUUUUCAAAUACUUAUAUUUAGUUGAAUUCCUUCAUUAUACUCUUUUUAAUGAAUUUUCUGAACAAAAUAAAAUUGUGUUACUCAGUCACUCAAAUUAGAGUGGAUAGAGCAAUGAAAAUAUUUAUUACUAUGUAGUUUAUAGUUGGAGUGAUCGGAUAGUCUAGUGGGAUCUUAGCCACUCUCGUUUGACUCACUUGGAGCAUGUCAAAAAUAUUUUUUUGAAAAUGAACGAUGGAGAUUUACUUUGCACUAGGUCCAGUGAAAAAGAUAUGGGAGAUAAUCCCAAUCUUAGCUUAUUGGGUAGGCCAGUGUUGAGAAUGGAUUCUCUCAAAUGUAAUUAUCUCACUAGUCUAAUUACCAACACAAUCAAAGAGAAAAAAUAGUGGGAUGUAAGUAAAAAAUCCAUAUUCUACUUACUCAAUCAUCUAUACAAGCUACUUUAAUUAUCUAGUCGAACGUUACGAGCGUUACAAGAGAAAUCAGAAUAUCGAUGAUCAAAAUCCUUCAAAGCAAAAGAUGUUGUUGUGUGCAAGUGUGAGUUAUAUGCCCCACAUCGGAUAAAAGAGUAAAGGUUGAACACCUUAUAAGUAAGAGGACCAUAAACCCAAAGCCUUAAGGUUUUGGGUAAGAGUGUGGUGUCUCCCUUGCUUGUCUGGUUGUUCUAGCCUCGAUGUGGACGCUCCCCCAAGCUCCCCUCGCUGACCCAACAGUGGUAUCAGAACCCCGGUUCGAUGAAGGGUACGACUGAGGCCGCCUGUCAGUUGUGCAGAAAGCAGCAACGACGGUACAAGCAACAAGUGGCUUCUUGUGCAGCAACGGCUAUACAUGCAAAGUAAAAAGCUUCCACGCGGUACAAGCAACAAGUGGCUUCUUGUGCAGCAAUGGCUAUACAUGCAAAGUAAAAAGCUUCCACUCUAGGGGAGCGACUCACGCUUGAGGGGGAGUGCUGUUGUGUGCAAGUGUCUGUUAUAUGUCUCAAAUCGGAUAAAAGAGUAAAGGUUGAACAUCUUAUAAGUUAGAGGACCCAUAAACCCAUAGCCUUAAUACUGUCCUUUUUGCAUAUUUAGCCCCCCCGAAACCAAUUUUAACCAAUUCAACGAUGACGUGGAUGUCACGUGUGUAAUGCUUUAAUUAUUUUAGUUUUAGAUAGAUACAGAGAGAGAGGUGUCAUAUGUCAAAAAAAAAAAAAGAUAGAAAAGAUUUCCUUCCUUGAAUCGUUGAGGUAACUACAAACUAAGACAAUGAUGUUAUUGGUUACUUGUUUCUAAUACCUUUGAAAAAGAUAGUUAGACCAAUGUAUUGGUCAUUAACUCUUUUCAAUGGUUACUACCCUAGUGUCUAAGGUGAGUCAUAACAACGUCAAAGUAAGUACAAUUAUUAUUAAUUUAUGUCUACACCUAAUCAAUAAUUGAAGGUUAAGAUAGGUCAAGCCAACAAAGUUAAGGUUAAGAUAAUCAUUUUCACCUAAAUUGAUUUAUGAACAUAUGUUAAUGAUGACAGUCCGUCAUAUCACAUUUUUAGAGUCUUUUCAAUUAAGUUUUUAUUCUAAUUUUAUUAAUUUAGUACUUAAUUUAGAGUCAUUUUAAAUAAAUUGUCAUUUUCUUAUUAUUGAGUCAACUAGUGUAUUAUUACUAUUAUUAUUGGUCAAUUAGUGGCUAGUAAAGAGAAUGAAACAAAAACAUGGUUUUGUGAUGGAUGUGAUUGGCCAAGAAAAAUGAUAACAAGUUGAACGAAAGAAAAGAAGACCACACAAUGUUGCAUUAGGGUGCAGGAAUCAAAACCAAUAUAAUUGGGCUUUCUUUCAUGGACGUUGAACCAAGAAAAAGAAAAGAAAAGAUAACUUGCUGCAUAAUGUUAAUUUGGAAAGAAAAAUAGGUUUGACAAGCUAUAAAAGGAGACCACGCACAGGAACAAAGCAGACGAUUGGGAAAGAAAGAGCAGCACGCGGUACGAGACAAAAGGAGGAGGAGAAAAGCUCAUGGAAUUUGGAAUAUGCAACAGUACUGAUUAAAUAGAACAAAGCCGGUAGACCAUAAUUCGAUCGGUUUAUUUCUUUUAGUAUGUUGUUUAUUCCUUUAAUAUGUCUAGUUAAUUCCAUUUGAUUGAGUCACGAUGAACCUAUUGUAAUAUAUGAAUCAGUAGUUAAAACUCUUUUUAUUAUCAAUAUUAUUCAGUCUUUAUUCAGAAUUAUCUGUGUUCAUUGCCUUUCAUAUGAUUGUUUGCAUUGUUUGCAUUGUUUGCAUGACUAUUAACCCUAACUUCUUACAAUCACAUAAAUUGAUCUUAGGAAUUGAAUGACUACUAACCCUAACUUUUAAUCCUGAAAUAAUAAUUCUGUUUAAUUCAACAUAGGAACCUAGAGAUAGGAAAUUGAGGAUUAUGACAUAUAACGUUCUAACAUCGCUUCCGCGGUUAUUCAACCAGUUUAAAAGAUUAAAAGGUUAUAACUUAGGAAAUGGUUUUGAGUCAAGAGAUUGAUCAAAACUAAUUAGUUAAUUUGUCGUAAAGAUUGAAUAAGUGUUGAGAGCAAAGAGAGAUAAACUAUUUCACAUAAAACAAUAGAGGAUUUACCGGCUGAUCAUCUGUUUUAAUCCAAUUAUCAAACCAUUUUAUUUUAUGUUAUUUACUUUUUAUUGCACACAAACGUACUGCCUCAUACACUUAUAAAAUUUACACAUCCUAGAUAUUAACUUUAUUGCUAGUUUGAGAUUAACACAGUCCUCGUGGAUACGAACUUAUUUUAUUACUUCGAUAGUUUUAGUACACUUGCUAAAAUAUUUAUGAGUUAACCAAUAAAGAGUAUCAAGAACAACUUUAACCGAAUAAAAUAGAAAAGUAAUUAAAUGAAAUUUAUAGAAUUAUUCAAAGUUACAUAAUCAAACAAUUACGAGGAAGUUCUUAUUUCAUGACCUAACAUAUAUAGUAUUAGCUACUCAUAGAUUUUCUAAACAUAUAUAAAUAGAUAUGAAGAAGAAAGCAUGAGAAAAGGAUCAGCAAGUGAGGAUUAAUUGGCUCCCUAAUGGCCGUGGUCACUCCAAUCCUUCCAAAAUUGUGUUUCUGCCUUCGUCUUCUCGCUAAAAAGUAUUUUCCACUAACUUAGGUUUCAAUAUUUAUAGGUGUGCAUUUCCUUAAGUUUUUGGGAAAUUGGCACACGAUGCGAUCCUAUUCCUCAUGAUGCGAGGAUAACAUAACUAAUCUUGUUGGCCUCACGUUUAUUGUCCCGAUGCAAAGCUCAUGAAGAUUGAUACGAUUCAAGGAAAUGUGAUUUGAUUUAACCAAGCAAAAACCAAGAUCAUAGGAUAACAAUGAUACGAUUCAAAGAAGUGUUAACUUGAUUCACAGUAAUACAAUUCAAAGAAUCAUGAAUCGUUUAAAAAUUUAUGGAAAAUUAGCAGAAACUUUUCAUGAUAAGAUUCAAAAAAGUUUGAAUUGAAUCAAUUGGUUAGAAAAACAUUUUGACCAAGAAAAAUGAAGUUUUCUUUAUACAAACAAAACACAAGACAACAAGGGAUCAUAUGAUUUAUGAGGCAAGAUUUCUAGGUAUGCUUUAACAUGAUAUUAGUCAAUAACAACUAAUAUCUAAACAUCAUCAAAUAAAAACUACCUAAUGAACAUCAUAAAAACACAAACCUAUAACUACACAACUUCAUCCAACUUAUUGGGUGUACCGCAUUAACUAGAUAAUGGUCAUAUCUAUACUAUAUAUAAAGAAAAUAACAUGUUUUUCAAGGUGAGAAAAACACGAGAGGGGGGGGGGGGGGGGGUUGAAUUGUGGUUUCUUUCUCUUCUCCUAAAACCGAAUUCACUAUUCAGAACUUGAUAGAGUUCAGCUUCUGAAGUAGUGUUCAGAGUCUAGUUGCAGCGGAUAAGAAAAGAGAGAGAGAGAGAGAGGCAAGACACAAAGCAACUAUACAGAUUCCUUCCACAAACCGGAACUAGUCAUGUCCCCCUUGCACCUCCAAGAAGAGUUCACUAAAAUCAAUAUUCGAUUACAAUUGCUCAGGGCUCAAAAUAGCAAGAGACUUCAAACUACUCAAGAACAACUACAAGAGAUUUCCUAUGCUCAAGAACAAAAUCAAGAGACUUCCUAUGCUCAAGCACAACUGCAAGAGACUUCAUACAAAUCAGAUAAGACUCUUAAGAUUCUAGAAUUUCUAAAAUAUGAAAGUUGAUAAGAAAUUCUAAGUGAACUUUGAUGUGAAACAUUUUUAGCAGAGUUUUGGCACUUGUAAAAUUGUUGUAAGUCUCUUAGAAAUCUUCAAGUCUUCACUCCUUUAUAUAGAGGUGUGAAAGAGACGUUGUUGAUUUCCAACACAUUAAAAGAGUCGUUAUUGAAGCUUGAUCAAAUUUCAAUUCCAUUCCAAGUAUAGAGGAAUACCAGCGUAGUCACAAUUGUUGUUCUUGUACUAUUGCAGACAGAAAACAGAGUAGUGGAGAAGGUGGUUGUACAAUUGUACUAUUGUCCUUUUCCAAUGUUCUUCAAGGGAUAAGCAUCCAAUGACUUCAAAUUCCUCUUAAUUAGUUGUUGCUCUAGACUUCUAUUCCUUCUGCAAUGAUAGGCAUGAUAAUAACAACUCUUGACAAAUAUUGAAGCUUCCAGUCUUUCAGCUUAUGAUCUUAAACUUCUAACGACGUCAGCUUCUGGUAGUCUCCAGCUUAUGAUAAAAGUGCUUCUGAUGAUGUCAUCUUCAGAACCUCUUUGUCUUCAAAACCUCUUUUCCUUCAGAUGGUUCCUUGCAACUCAAGCUUCCUUUUUUUAAAUUCCAUUGCUCUCAUUUGUUCUUCUAGAACCCAUGCUUCAUUUAAAGACACUCAAAUUUUUGUAUAUGGUCCUGCACACUUGAACAAAUAUUAUCAUAUCCAAUUGAAUUUUUUUAAUACCUUGUUAUCAUCAAAACUUAAAGGGUAAUGUUAAACACAUUUUGUUCCAACAUUUUUGACUCUUUUAGAAUGACUUUUUCUCUUUCCAAAAUUACCAUCAACUUUCAAUACAAAUAACACAUACAACAAGAAUUGUGUUAUUUGAACAUCCAUAUAUGCGACAACUUUUGUGACAACCAAAAUUUUACAAAGAAAAUGAAGUAGUGGCACAAAAACCAAAGCAAUAGAGAGAGAAAGUAAAAAGAUAAUGUGAGUAUGAGAGAGAAAGUUGUCACAAAAGUUGUAAAAAAUAGUUGUUCAAAUAUCAUUUCUCCAUACAACAAAUAGAUGAGAGUAAAUUCAAACAUUAAAAUAAAAUUGUAAUACACACGAUAUGAGUAUAUAUGUCCAGUUUUUUCCUUUAUCAUUUAAAAAAUGUAACAAACAAGAUGAGAAUAUCAGAGAGAUGAGAGAUAGUGACGUGAGACAAGAAAGACCUCUCCGUGGCCCGCCUUUGCUUGAACGGUGGUAACCGCACCAGAAUUUAUCUCCAUUUGAGAGAUACACUAGGGGGUAGGUAUGCAGCCUGGGUGGUAGAAAAUGGGGGGGGGGGGGGGGGGGGUAUGGGUGAUUGGUCUGUAGUUAGGUCACGAAAGAGGAAAGCGACGCAAUCGGAAGAUCGAGGAAGGGACAAGUCAAGGGUUUCAGAGCGACGCGGAGGCACGGUAAGGGUUAGAGGGAUCGCACAUAAUGAUUACGGGUUUGAUGGCAGAGAGGCGCGACAAUCAGCAAGGGCUCUUCAUGAUCAGCAAGGUUUGGGUCGUUAUCAGUUUGGAAACAACGAUUUGGCUUUCGACAGAUGCGGGUCUGAUGCUAUCAUGGGAAAAGGCUUCUUCGACGACAAACAUAACAAUGGUAGUAAAAUUACUUUCUAUUUUGCAAACAUUCCUGAUUAUAUGCCGUUGUUUCGUCUCCGUCAAUACUUUGAAGUGUGUGGUAUUUUGUCUGAUGUCUAUGUUGCCAGACAACUAAAUUCACGUGGUCAGGUCUAUGGCUUCGUUAGAUUUUUGAAUGUGAGGAACAAGGACAAAUUAGCACAAGAUUUGAAUAAUGUAUGGAUUGGUGACUUUAAGGUCUGGGCGCGUGAAGCAAAAUUUGAUAGGUUUGCACAAUAUGAUGAUGAUCAUAGGGUGUCUAUGCAUGGUGAUAGAAGGGAUGAGAAUGGAGGGGAGAGGAGGCCGGUGGUGAGAACUAAUGGUGAUGGAGUAAAAAAUAUGAGGAUGUGUAAUUUUAAAAAAAUAGGAGGGAUAAUAAAAAUAGUUGUUGGUCUCAUUUUAAAAAAAAAUAAAAAAAUUGUUUAUAUAUUUUUGUUAUAUUAUCGGUGUCAAUGAAAUGGAUAAUCAUGGUUAAUUUGAUUUGUUAUAAUUUGAAAGCAACACACAUUUAUAUCUUUAAUUUUAAUCAAAAUCAAAAUGUUAUAAAAAAUACUAUUGCUAAUUUUCAAAUGUUAACACAAUAAAAAGAGCAGAAAGACGGAGUGCCCGUCUUUUCACUAGUUAUAAUAAAAGAAAUUUUAUUUGAUGUAUUGAUAAUGAUACUGAAACUUUUUACACAUACAUCCAAACAUUAUUCAUGACAUCACUUUUAUACAAGUUCUAAAAUAUCGCUGUAACAAAAAGGUUAAAAAACAACUCAUGAAAUAUGUACAUGAUUUAAUUGAAUAUAUGUGUAAAAGAAAUUAUAUAUCAACAUCUAUAAAUUAAAUUUAUUAUUGAAAUGAAAUACUAGUAAAAAUGAUGGCCAGCAUUUAUGAAAAUAAAGGUCUAACUGAUCAUGGGCCAAUUUAAAUCAAAAGUAGAUUUGUGCCCUCUAAAGGGUACUAGAAUAUAAAAGAUGGACGGCAAACAAGGGACACAAAGAAUAGAGAUGCUCAAUUUAAAACACAACUUCGAUUUUUUUUUUAUUUACUAAAAAAUAACUUAGAUUGUUUAGAGAAGAUAGGAAUUCAAUUAGUCUGACAACAUAUUUUGGAAGUACAAUUAGUUUCACAAUUAACUAUUUUGAUAAUCCUCCUUAUUAAAAAAAAAUUAAUAUUCCAUUUCGUCAAAUAAAACAAAAAGUUAGGGAGUGAUGAGAGAUCUUAGUCAAUAUUGUUUUGCACCAUAAUAUUUUUGAGAGAUUGAUUUGGCAUUUACAUGCUUCCAACAAAUACAAUGUAACAAGUGCUUAUAAUUAUAUGAUAUCGUCUCUUAAUAUUGUGACAGCUGAUCACUUAAACACAAUUUGGAACAACGAGGUCCCUCUGAAAGUUAGUCAUUUUACAUGGAGUUUGCUCUGUAGCCGAUUACCAACAACAAAUAAUUUUAUCAGAAGGCACAUUCUUAAUCAUAAUGUUCAACUUUGUGUAGGCUUUUGUGGUAUAAUGUAAGAUAUAGACGAUCUAUUUCUCUCUUGUGAUUUUUUUGAAAUUUUUUAGAUUGGUAUCUAUAAUUGGCUCGGCUUUACUAUGGUACAUCCAGAACAUCCGAAUAACUUUUCAACUCAUAUGGUUAACUUGUGUUUGGGUGAUUUGAUGGGAAAGAAAUGCUUGAAGUUUUCGCAAUCAAGAAGAAUCGUUACAACAUCUUCUUGACAAAAUUAAGCUUCAAUCCUAUUAGUGGUUGAAAGCGAAUAGAAUUUUCGCUCAAUUUUAAUAAAGUGGAUACUAUAUGAGAUUUUCGCUCAAUUUUUUAUGAGUAUGGACUGCACUUGGCGUUAGUCAUUGAACUCAUUUUACGAGACUCAAGUUCCAACUUAAGCCAAAAACUGAAACCAAACAAAUGAAGUAAAAAACUCAAGUUCCAAACUAAUGCGUGAUUUUAGUCAAAACAAUGUUUAUUUUUUGACAGUAGUUAGUUUUGGAUUACAGCUAUAUCCCUACACCCCACAAACUAUACCCCUCUCACCAAUAGACAAAACAAAAGAGUAGGUGGAAGGGUACAUAAUUAAGAAAAAGUUAUGUGAAAAACAAUAUUUUCUAUAGCCAAAACCAAAAGAUAUAUAUUGCAUUAUUGCAUAUAUACCAAUAAAAGAAGUACUGUGAAAUACAAGAUAAUGGCAUUAGAUUAGAAAUGGCCAAUUUGAUCUGUCUAUUUUUAAUCAUAUUAUUUAGAUUUGUUCAAUCUUUUACCAAAUCUUAUUUAGUUAUGCAAAAAGCAACACCUCUCGUUGAAAGAUAAUAAUAACGAUUUUUGGCAUAUGUUACUAAUAUUGAUUGAAAAAUGUUACCAAAUGAUGCAACUUCCCAACUCCAAUCCACUCAUAAUUUCAAACUUCGCUACCAUAUGAAAACAAAAUCACAGGUAGAAAUGUGUUGGAAAUCCUCAACAACUAUUGACUUUUGGUACAAAAGAGUGCCAAGUCAUUACUAAUUCAAGAUUGAGACAUGCAGCUGUGAGUGGAUUCACUAAGAUCACGACUAGUAUAAAAGGAGCUGGUCACACUUGUAUUUUAUGCACCAAAUUAUAAGUCACUAACAUGGCUUCCUCAAACUUUCUAAUGAUGCUCCUCUUUGCUCUCUUUGUCAUCCCUAAGGGGUUUGCCAACUACGAGAAACCUCCAGAGUAUCAUCCACCAGUUGAAAAUCCCCCAUUUUAUAAACCACCGGUAGAGAAACCACCUGUGUAUAAACCACCAAUAGAGCAACCUCCAAUUUAUAAGCCACCUGUAGAAAAUCCUCCAAUUUAUAAACCACCAGUAGAGAAACCACCCGUGUAUAAACCACCGUUUGAGAAACCUCCAAUCUACCAUCCACCAGUAGAGAUACCACCAGUGUACAACCCACCAGUUGAACAUCCUCCAAUUUACAAGCCUCCUGUAUACAAACCACCAGUAGAGCAACCUCCCGUCUAUAAGCCACCAGUAGAGAAGCCUCCAAUUUACAAGCCACCAGUAGAGAAACCUCCUGUUUACCAACCUCCUGUUUACAAGCCCCCAGUUGAGAAACCUCCAGUGUACAAGCCACCUGUAGAAAAGCCACCAGUGUACAAGCCACCUGUAGAAAAGCCACCAGUGUACAAGCCACCUGUAGAAAAGCCUCCUAUAUACAAACCACCAGUAGAGAAACCACCAGUGUACAAACCACCCGUUGAGAAACCCCCGGUUUAUAAGCCACCAGUAGAGAAACCACCUGUGUACAAGCCACCAGUUGAGAAGCCCCCAAUUUACAAGCCACCAGUAGAGAAACCACCUGUAUACAAGCCACCAGUUGAGAAGCCUCCAGCUUACAAGCCACCAGUUGAGAAGCCACCUGUAGAGAAACCACCAGUGUACAAGCCACCGGUUGAGAAGCCCCCAAUUUACAAACCACCAGUUGAGAAGCCUCCAGUGUACAAGCCACCGGUUGAGAAACCACCUGUCUACAAGCCACCUGUAGAAAAUCCACCUGUUUACAAGCCACCAUUUGAGAAACCUCCAAUUUAUAAACCGCCAAUAGAGUAUCCACCCGUGUACAAGCCCCCUUUUGAGAAACCCCCCAUCUACAAGCCACCUGUAGAGAAACCUCCUUUUUACAAGCCUCCGUUUGAGAAUCCACCAUUUUAUAUACCUCCAGUUGAGGAGCCUCCUGUUUACAAGCCUCCAUUCGAGAAGCCACCAAUUUACACUCCUCCAUUCUAGAGCCCACCUUACCACCCAAAGUUCCCUCGGGCAGGCGAUGGUACUCGUUAAUAGAACAUGCUAUGAAGAAAAUAUGUUAAAUAAGAGAUAUAUAGAGUUUUUUAUUUAAUCAAGGAAUAUAUAUAUUCAUGUAAUCUUCAUUUCAAUACUUUGUUUACAAUACUCUUGCUAUGAUAAGAAUAUGAGUGAAAAACAGAGAAAGAAAAUAGUGUGCUUUUCUAUUCGAAAUUAUGAAUAAGAUUUCUAUGAUUUAGAUGUUGUGUUGGUUGACUAAAUCGUGAUACAUCGACAGAGGCAGAGCCCCUCAUGCGCCAAGGUGGGUCAUGGCCCACCCCCAAAUUUUGUUUCUUAUUAUAUAUAUAUUAUGUUUUGUAAAUUUUUGAUGUUUUUGUAGCAUGUUGUAGUGGUUAAGAGCCUUUUUGCCAAGUCGUAUGUGCUAGGUUCAACUCUUGCCAAAACCAUUUUUAUUUAUUCUUUUAUUUUCUUUUGUAUAAAAAAAAAACAUAAUUCAUAAUUGUUAAAAUAAUCCUUUUUUUUGUUACUUAAUCCUUUCUUUCUUUAAUAAAACAUAACUCCUUUAUUCGAUUUAAAAUAAUCUUUCCUUUCCUUACUCUUAUUUUUGGAUACAAUUGUCUCUUUACUCUUUUAUUUUAAUUUUUUUUUUAUACAAAGGGGACUUCAACUCUUUUUUGUCAAAAAACAUUCUCUUUUAAAACAUAUAACAUAUUUUUUAUACUUAGUCGUUUGAUUCAAUUCGAUUUUAUACCUAUACAUCUGUUUAUUGAAGUCGAGUCAUUUAAUUCAGUCGUUAGGUUCAAUGGCCUAGUUGUUCGAUCAAUUAUCUUGAACUUUAUCAAGGUUGAUAAACAGUUCAUAUUUUAAAAUACCGGUUUAAAUUAUAUUCAACAAAUAACAAAUUUAUAGUCAUUGGAACCAACCAAUAAUAAAAUGUACUUGUAAGAAAAUAAAGCCUCAUCACUAUUUAUGGCCCACCCUAUACUUUUUUCCUAGCUCCGCCACUUUACAUCUUCGUAUUCUUUAGGAAGUUUCAACCUUGUUGACUAUGACAACAGUGACGACUAUAACGAGACUCGCUAUUGACUAUGACAACAGUGACGACUAUAACGAGACUCCCUACUUUUUGGUUUGCUUCAACAGGUUCUCAACAUAAAUAACUAACCAAGUUAAUUUGCCUGUGAAAUGUGAUAUUAGUAAGGUGCAUGAAGGUUAAGUUCUUUAGCAAAGCUUAGUAUCUUGAAUUAAAGAAUAUCGUUAAUUAAACUAAAUAUUCAUAUUAGGUAUCACAAUUUUCAAGACUUUAUAUGUACGUGUUGAUCCAUUAAUUAAGAGAAAUUAGACUUUAGACCCGUGCGUCGCACGGGUCAUUUCGACUAAUAUAUAAUAAUAAGUAAUGGUAAAAAAAAUUCUAAAAUAAAUAAAAGAUGAAGAGUAUUAUACAUUUUACUUACUCAAGUUCAAAAAAUAAAGUAGGAGAUGACAUGAAAUCGUUUAGUUGAAACAAACGAAUAUUAAAAAAUAAAAAUUAGACAACGACAGGGAUCUAAAAUUCUAUUUCUAAUCCUUCACAUAUCAAAAUUACAAUUGGUUCUCUUCAUUGUAAUCAUCUAAACUUAAUUAAAAAAUUUACAAGUGCAAAUAGAAUCGACAUUAUACAAGUCACUACUUGAUUCCAAAAACCUAUGUUUCAUGAAAACCACUCAUACCUAAAUAACAAUAAUAAACCUUCAAAACAAAAAUCAACUAUUCUCAAAGGACCCAAAAGAAAGAUUUUUAGCCUUCUAAAUCACAAUUUCUCUUGUUGUAUUGUUUUUGUGUCAAAAGCACCAUAAGUUGAAUAGUAGGCUCAGACACAUGACUUUCCUCAUAAGACAAAAUCACCAGUUUUUUAUAGGUUGAAAAAAUAAAUCAAAUAUCCUUAACUUUCAAUAACGCUUAGAAACAACUGAAACUUUUGCAUUAUCUCAAUCCACAAACAAAAUUGAAGACCUUUAUAUUUGCUUUAGGCACCUUAAGGAAUUCUAUGUAAAUUGUUUUCCUGCAAUGAAAUGCUAAACACAAUGAGCAAAGAAGAAGAAUUAACAACAAUAUUUGGAUUGUUUUAUUUAGCUUACAAUUCUUUAAACUAAUCAANAACACAAUGAGCAAAGAAGAAGAAUUAACAACAAUAUUUGGAUUGUUUUAUUUAGCUUACAAUUCUUUAAACUAAUCAACAAAAAAUUAAAUUUGCAUUAUAUCCUCCACAAUAUCAAGAAUUUUUCAAAGGGAUCAUUCUAUUUGUAUGGCUAUGAUGAGAACUCAUGUGUGUCCAUGAAGACCAGCUCUACGGAUAACCAUGUUCAUAUUAACUAUUUUAGGAGUGAAAAUAGGAUUGGAUUGGAUUUAGUAGUGAGCUGUUGUUUUUGAUUUCAGAAGCAUUUGAAAAUAACAUUUUGAUUAAAUGGAAAUAAUAGGAAGAAUUUGUUAAUAAAAGUGAUUUUUUUUUUUUUUUUUAUGUUGAUCUUUUUAUUGUUGUGUUAGAAACAAAAUAGGACGAAAUUGUAUUUUUUUUUUUAUGUUUAUCUUUUUAUUGUUGUGUUGGAAACAAAAUAGGAGGAAAUUGUUAUAGGAAUAGGAGGAACGAUUUUUAAAGUUUAUCUCUUAAUUAAACAGGUUUAAUUGAACACGGGGGUAAUAACGUAAAAGUCAUCAUAAAAUCUAGGUUAAAAUUAGGUUAAAAAUUGGCUUACGGGUUAACUUUUAUAUAUAAAGAAGUCAAGAGAAUCUAGAUCUGUGAAGCCCCGAUACUUCAAAAUGGAUGAUGUAUCGUAUCCGCUGCGUAUUCUGUAUCGAUACCUGCCCGAUACUUCUCAAAUUUAUGAGUUUUAUUUGAUUCUUCGAAUUCGAAUUUUGAGAAUUUUAGGGUUUGAAGGUUGGUGAUGGAGGUGAAUCUGAGUUUAUAUUAAGAAUUGAUGAAGAAUUUAAGGAGAGUGCAGUGAUGGAUAGGUAACUGAGUAUGAAUUGGUAUGCAGUUUGGAAAAACAAAACAAGAGGCAGUAGCAGCACCCCCACCCUUCCUCUACUUCUUCGACAAUAUGAGUGUUAGAUUCAUUUUCCUAGGUGUGAUUUUGAGGCAGAUGAAUAUGUGUGAGAGAUUGUAGAGGAAGAUCUCAGAUAUAGCUUUUAGGGAUGAACAUGAAUGAAUGAAUUUGUAGAUGAAGAUGAAUGUUGUUUGAACAUUUAAUUAAGAAAUUUUUAAUUGUUUUUUGUUUUAAUAUUUGAAAUUAUUAAAUUGUAUUUUGAAAUUCAAAAAACCUGUUUUAAUGACAUGUAAAUGACAUUUUCCAAAUUGGCAAUGCCACAUAGGCAAAAUUUUACCACCUGUGCAUUUUUGGAUGUGAAAAUAGGGGGUAAGACUAAAACUGCAACAAAAAUGAUAAUUGAAAAACAAUUUUAAUCUGUUUUAAAAGGGCAGGACCAAUUUCCUGAGUAGGCCACAACACGAGGACCAAAAGUGUAAUUAAGCCUUAUAUUUAUGUUGAUGUGCUACAAGCUUAUGACUGGUUUCUUUUGUUUGAUAAUAUAUUUGCAUAUUAAAUAAAAUGGUUAUAAUUAUAUUCUACAUUUAAUUAUAUAAUUUUUUUAUUGACGUAUCCCAACCAUAUCGUAUCUUGAUUUUUGAAAUUUUUUCGUAUUGACGUAUCGGUGCAGUAUCGUAUCUCGUAUUCGGGCUUCAUAGAUCUAGACUAUUAAUUUUUUUGAUAAACAAGAUUAUUAUUAUUUUUUGACAAAAACAAAGUGAGAUUCAUUCAUUCAAAUUGAUAGAGUACAUCAGAUACAAACAUUGCUAAAAACGUAAAGGAUAAAUCUAUGAACAAACUCACAACACUAAAGUUCAUACAACAGCAAAAUGUCUACAAAUAAUAUGAUAAAAUCUAAGUCACCAAAAUAUUCAUGCUUCCGGGUAUGCAACGUUGGCGCCCAAAUCAUUGAUUGAAUUUGUAAUUGACUAAUGUCGAUCUUUCAACAUGAACUAAACGAACACCGCGUCAAGACGCGAAAUCAAACAUCACAUAAGACCACUAACAACACAAUGCCACAAUUAGAUGACGAAAUCACAAAAACUCAAAAGGGAAAACUUGAUAUAUGUGAAAACCAUUUGUUUAGAUCGAAAGAAAAGAGAAAAAACGAUGUAGAGGGGUGAUUUUAGGUCAAAAAUGACCUAAAACCAGUUCUUUUUAAUAAACGAAGGAGAAAGAAUGUUUAGAGAGAAGUUGGAGUUUUUUUUUACUUAAAAAAUUAGGAUAAGCAAAAUUAUUAUAGAGGGAUAAAGGGCUCCCCAACCCAUAUACAAAAUGAUGGUUGCAAUGCCAUGUAGAAAAUAAAAAGAUAACAUUGCCUUUCUUUUUACAAUUAAACUAGUUACAAACCCGUGCGUUGCACGGGUUUAAUAACGUAUUUUAUAAAAAAAAAAUCUUUUAAAAGAAAAAUGAGCAAAUUAAUGAAUAUUGCACAAACAUUAUAAAUCUUUAUCAAAAUAUUUAUGAAAGCUUUAUCAAGUCUUUAAUACACAUUAAUAUUUGUGAUGAUUGAUAAAAGAAUUAAAAAGAGUAAAGGGUAUAGAAAUAAAUUUAUUAAAGAAUUAACAAUUUGUUUAAACUUAUUUUUGUUACAAUUUAGACCAAAAAAAAUAUUGGACUUCAUUGAGUUUCUCUAUAAUUUUUUUAUCAGGCUUGAAGUUAUGACUCUGAGUUUGAAAACCGCAAAAUUCACAAAAAUUAUUGAAGAAACACUAUAAACAAAUAAACGGCAUCGUCAAAAAUGAAAUCAUAUUUGGCUAUAGUGAUCAAGCAAACAAAAAAAAAGAAGCAUAUUAAAUACCUAUAAUCAAUGGAUUCUAAUUGCAUAGAGGCGACACUUAUACUUUCUCUAUGUUUGUUCAUCAAUGAGAGUGAUUAUUUUGCGCUUUCCUUUCAGAAUUGUUCUUGACACCUAGUUUGGGAAAUGCUAAACAGGGAAAUAACUGUAAUAUUAAUCUAAUGCAUAUUAACAUGGAUAAGAUGUAUGCGAAUAUAGUUAUAUAUAACUUAUGAAAUGAAGGUAACAUAACUGAUUUUAAGCUAAAGAAAAUGUACCAUGACUUCUAAUUUAUCUUUCUAUUAUCUUCCUAUAAAGUCUAGAGAAAUGCAUGCAUGUGCAUUAUAUGUACCCCGUUGACCAAUUAACAUUUUUGAAACAAAUGAAAAUUAAGCAUCACUCCCGCAUGUGCAUCUAUAGCUAACACCAUUUGACAUUGAUGUCUUCGAACAUUUGGUGCAACUCUCAUAAUACCAUCCAAACUGGUUAGGAUUGAAUUUAGUUGUUUUUCCAAAUAGUGAUGGAGUAUGUAUCCUAACACAAAUUAUGCACGUGAAAUAAAGAAUAGUGCAAUAUGCAUUUUUAAUUUGUGCGUAAAAAAAUUCAAAGCAUGUUUGUGAAAAAAAAAAAAAAAAACAGACCUUGACUAAGUUUAUAGAUUCAUCAAUUGGCCUAACUUGAGACAGAUUGGAAAAAUCGUUCUACGAAGUACUUUUUAAACUUUACUUUUUAAUCUAUCUGAGCUUGAGAAGUGUUAAGUUCACGACAACAAUUCAAGAAACAUGGUCAAUAAACAAUCAAAUCAGAUUGUGAAAUAAUAAGUUACUCUAACACUGUAUUGUGAAAUCAUAAUGCAAACUUACUAAGUCUUAAACUUUUCAACAACCGGAUGAUGUAGGUUGAUGAGCAGCCUCGAACCUGACCAAUUGUUACAUCUAUUUGCGUUGUCAUUGACUACAAAAUAGAAGCAAAGAAUUCAAGGUAAAUAAAUGGUAAAUGAUAAAGCUACAAAGUAUUUUACCCAUAAUGUUACAUCAACUAUAUUCCCAAUGCUCUAAAUCUCUAUAUCGAGUUAUUACAUGAACUCGAUCACCCUAAAUCCGAGAAAGAAACCAAAAAAUAUAAAUAAAUCAAAAUGUAUACUAAUAAGUAACAUUGAUAAAUCAUAAAAGAAAUUACUACAAAUCUUAACUAACUUAUCUAACCUUUGCAUCACAAAUAAUGAGCUUCAUAUGUUGAUUCUCAUUACUACCAGUCACAAUUCAAGAAUCCAGUACUCCAAAUCCUAUUUUCCAAACGUCUAAAUCAUUUUUGAGAUACUUAAUGUAGUCAUAAUCCCUUGACAUUGAAAUUCAUAUAUAGAAAUACAAUAAUACAUCAUUUAAUUUUAUUCCCUUUGUUCAUUCUGAUAUCGAAAGAAGCUAACAUAUUUCUAUGUGAUCAAUUUUUGUAUCAUCAAAUUAACCUGAUCUUAAAUGUACAAAUUUCUAUCAUCAACUUUCUGGACCCCAAUGAUAUGAUCAAAACAAAUUUACACCAAUCAACUUUUUGCACGGCUCAAUGAUAUACGAAAGAAUAAAUAAAAUAUGAAAACUGUUACAGCUUUAGGAUUACUCACAAAAACUAAAAUAAUUGAAAUGCAUCAAUUAUUUUCAACUCCUGUACCAGAAGCUAAAAUAACAAUUGUGUCAAAACCUUACCAUCAGUUAAAAUUCAGUCAUCAUGACCUCUACUAUACUCCACAUAACAAAAGACGAUUUUUCUACAGCCAUGCAACAUAACAAAUUUUGGUACAUAAUCCAAUAACAAUUGGAAAAAAAAAAAAAAAACCCUUAAAAUGCAUAAUCAUGAAAAAAGGAAGAAAACCAUCUAUGAUGAAGCAAAAACUAAAACGGUGUCGAAAAAUGAAGCCCUUAAGCCAUAAAAAUCAGUCAACUCAAGUCAUGCAUGGUCUCAGAACCAUGAAAAAAGAUAGAAAAUGACCUUUUUUUUUUUUGUGGUGGCCGGGGUUUGAACUCCGGACCUUGCAUAUUUUAUGCAUUGUCCUACCAACUAAGCUAAGCUCACGAGGACGAAGAAAAUGACCUCUUAUGAAGAAGAAAGUGAAACAGUGUUCCCGACUGAACUUAGAUACCGUUUGGUCAAGGUUUUUUACAUUAUAAAAGUUACUUCAAAACAAAGUAAAAAUAAAGGCCUUUAUGAAAGAAACUAAAGUUAUUUGGUUUUUUUGUUUUGUUAGUUUUAAAGCUAUUUAAGUUUAAUGUUGUUUGGCAAAAUAUUGUACAAACUUUGAAUUUAUUAUUUUUUAUAUGGUGUCUGGGGUUCGAACUCCGGACUUGGCAUGUAUUUAUGCAUUGUUCCUAUCAACUGAGCUAAACUCAUGAGGACAAAACUUUGAAUUUAUUAUUAAUUAACAUAAUAAAUAAAUAAAAUGUUUAGAAUAAUUUAUGAAGGCUAAAAAUGUUAAAAAAAUAAAAGAUAUUUUUUUUACAAAUACGAUAUUUACUCAAUAACGUUUAUUUUGUGUAACAUGAAUACAAAUUAAUAUCAUCAUAUAAAUAACUUGUUAAAUAUUUGAAUAGGAGAAACAAUUUAAGGAGUCUGGAAUAAUAAUAUAAAUAAUAUCAAAAUAUUUGAUUUUUUCUAUUUCAAUUAUACUCUAUAACAAAUUUCGUUAUAAGAAUACCAUAUUUUUUGUGUCUUUCAAAAAGAUAAGAAUUUAUAUUAUAUGAUAUUAUAUUUGUUACAUUGUUGGUGUCAUGGAAACAGAUAUGUUUAAUUUUUUUGAACAUGAAAAUGAUAUGCAUAGUUUGUUACGAUAUAAAGGUGCAAUAUAUAUAUAUAUAUACACCUUUUUAGGCAUCUAUACCUUUUUUUGAAGAAAAGACAUCUACAAUUUUACUUUUAAUUAAAAUUUAAAUUUUAUAAAAAUAAUCAUACGCAUUAUGCAACGCUAAAAAAAAUUAUACACAUUAGCGUAACAAAAAAACAGACACACAUAAAGAAUUACUCUAAACGCUAAUGUGUAUGUGCGUAUAUAUUUGCGAGGUUGAAGAAAGAAAAUACAAAUAUUUGAUAUCAUUAAAUGACAGCGUGAAUAAAAAUAUUUGUGAAGUUGUGAUGAUUAAACGAUAUUGAAAUUAUAAGUGAUAAAAAGAUAAUAAAAUUCCUUUGAAAAAAAGGUAAUAAAAUUAAAUGGAACCUCCUUAAAAAAAAUUAAAUUGAACGCUUCAAAUUAAAUGGAAGAAAAAAAUAUAUUGAAGUAUAAUAUUAAAAAAUAAAAAAAAAGGUUCCCAACGUGAAUUGAAGAGAGAUGCUUGUGAAAUAAAUUGUCGAGAAGUAGUUUUUUGAAGAAGCAUUCAACAACUUUUGGUCAAAGUUCAUUGCAUUCAAUUUUAUGCAUUAAAAAAGGUACAUUUUUUAGAAAGUACUUAAUUGAUAUUGUAUUUGACCUAACUUCUCCUUAAAAAUAUAGGGAAGUUGAAAAAAAAAACCGGGUCAAACGGUAUCUUAAUUUCCCACAACGGCAGUGUAGAAACAACUGAAUUUGGGAGAAAAAAAUUGGAAAAUAGUUAAAAAUAAAAAAAAUUGAAAAAUAGUUAAAAAAAAUCGGUGAGGUAGCACCUAACCAAACAACACUAAAAAAAAUUAUAUGCAUCAGCGUAACAAAAAAACAGACAGACGGACAUAAAAUAUUACUCUAAACGUUAAUGUGUGUGUAUAUAUUCGCGAGGUUGAAGAAAGGAAAUAAAAAUAUUUGGUAUCAUUAAAUGACAGCGUGAAUAAAAAUAUUUGUGAGGUUGUGAUGAUUAAACAAUAUUGAAAUUAAAAUAAUUAAUAUUGUGUUUGACCCAACUUCUCCUUAAAAAUUUAGAGAAGUUGGAAAAAAGUCGGGUCAAGCGAUACCUUAAUCUCCCACAACGGUAAUGUAGAAGCCACUGAAUUUGGGAGAAAAAAUUGGAAAAUAGUUAAAACUAAAAAAUAAAAAAAUCGGUGAGGUAGCACCCAACCAAGCAACACCAAAAAAAAAUUAUAUGCAUUAUCGUAACAAAAAAAUAGACAAACAGACAUAUAAUAUUACUCGAAACAUUAAUGUGUGUGUAUAUUCGCGAGGUUGAAGAAAGGAAAUAAAAAUAUUUGAUAUCAUUAAAUGACAACGUGAAUAAAUAUAUCUGUGAGGUUGUGAUGAUUAAAUAAUAUUUAAAUUAAAAUAAUUGAUAUUGUGUUUGACCUAACUUCUCCUUAAAAAUGUAGAGAAUUUGGAAAAAAGCCGGGUCAAACGAUACCUUAGUCUCCCACAACGGCAAUGUAGAAGCAACUGAAUUUGGGAGAAAAAAUUGAAAAAUAGUUAAAAACAUAAAAAUUGGAAAAUAGUUAAAAGUUAUUAAAAAUUAGAAAAUAAUUUAAAAAAUUGGUGAGGGGCAAAAUGGGAAAUUUGGCAUAAAAAAGAUGAGGUGGCACCAAACCAAACCCACCAAUUAGAAAAUUACUUAAAUGCCCAUUCCAGGGACAAAAUGGGAAUUUCAUAUGGCAUCAAUUUUAAUAGAGUAUAUAGACCACUCACAUUACACAAAUGUUGAAAUAUAUGAUGCAUAUUACUUUUUAAAUUUUUGGUUUAUAGUUGCAUUUUUUUUAGGGUUAAUAGUGUUUUUCACCCUUGUAAUAUAUGUCAUUUUCGGUUUUCGACCCUAUAAAAUUUUUAGUUUUAUUUUAACCCUCGUAAAAUUUUUAUUUUCCGGAAAAGACCCUUAAUAGGCCAUUCAAAAACCAAAAUUUCUUGAAAAAAAUUCUGAAAAUGGCCUAUUAGGGGUCUUUUCCGGAAAAUAAAAAUUAUACGAGGGACCACCUGUUGAGAAACCACCUGUACACAAGCCACCAGUUGAGAAGCUACCUGUUUACAAGCCACCUGUAGAGAAACCUCCGGUGUACAAGCCACCUGUUGAGAAGCCCCCAGUUUACAAACCUCCAGUAGAGAAGCCUCUAGUGCACAAGCCACCAGUUGAUAAACCACCUGUACACAAGCCACCAGUUGAGAAGCUACCUGUUUACAAGCCACCUGUAGAGAAACCUCCGGUGUACAAGCCACCAGUUGAGAAGCCCCCAGUUCACAAACCUCCAGUAGAGAAGCCUCCAGUUCACAAACCUCAAGUGGAGAAGCCACCUGUAUACAAGCCACCAGUUGAGAAGUUUCCAAUUUACAAACCUCUAGUAGAGAAGCCUCCAGUGCACAAGCCACGAGUUGAGAAACCACCUGUACACAAGCCACCAGUUGAGAAGCUACCUUUUUACAAGCCACCUGCAAAGAAACCUCCGGUGUACAAGCCACCAGUUGAGAAGUCCCCAGUUUACAAACCUCCGUUAGAGAAGCCUCCAGUGCACAAGCCACCGGUUGAGAAACCACCUGUAUACAAGCCACCAAUUGAGAAGCCCCCAGUUCACAAGCCUCCAUUCGAGAAGCCACCGAUUUACACAC
rnacentral:lncRNA from 1 species